rnacentral:lncRNA from 1 species
AAGUCCAAUUAGAUGAGUCCGACUUUAAAAGCCUAGCUGUGCCGAAGUCAGAUACAUGAGCUUCAUAUUCUGAAUCUAACAAAACAUUGUUACUUGAUAUGUCUCGAUGAAUUAUAGGAGGUGAGCAAUCAUGGUGCAUAUAAGAUAAAGCUUUAGCCACGCCUUUAACAACGUUUAGCCUCACAAUCCAAUCUAAUUUUUCUGCUUCUUCGUCGUUUCUUAGAAUGUUUCGCAAGCUUCCCUUUUCCAUAAACUCAUAAACCAAAAAUGAGUUCUCUGCAAAUAAACUGAAGCCAUAAAGCUUGACGAUACUGCGAUGCCUUAUCUGUGUUAAAGCAUGAAUCUCGCUUUUGAAAGCUUUCAAAUCAGCCAUAUCUCCAUCUUGUGAUGAGUGAAGCUUUUUCACAGCAACAACCCGACCUGUUGGCAACUCAGCCUUGUAAACAGUACCAUAUCCUCCAGUGCCAAUACACUGCUUCGAACUGAAAUUGUCGGUCCCCUGUAUGAUGUGUUCAUACAGCAAUUCCCCAUCAUGGCCCCAUAUUGCAAAUAGAUCUUCAACAUCUGCUUCUGGAGAUUUGGUUUUUCUCUUCCUCAAUUUUUGGAAAAGAAAAAAAAUGCCAAUAACAAAAGCAAAUAAGAACAAUAGACUGCUCACAAUGAGGAGUAUUAUGAUCAAAAUAGAAAACUUGUUGGCCUUCUUUCGACUAGCACUACAUGGCUUGAGAUGAGUGACAUUAUUACCACACAGACCUUUAUUAUUUUUGAAUGCCUCAAAUGGAGCAAAGGCUUUGAUGUUUGGGAGAGGACCUUCCAAUUGAUUGUAGGAUAUAUCAGCAACUGUCAAACUUAUCAAAUCAUCAAACGUGUGUGGGAUGGUACCAGAUAGCCCAUUGUGGGAGAGAUUCAACGUUUCCAGGUUCUGUAAUUCUCCAAGCAGCGGUGGCAUCUCUCCUGUCAACAUAUUUUGACUAAGAUCGAGACUUCGAAGAUGAUGCAUCUUUCCAAUUUCGUCAGGAAUGCUAUCCACAAAUCUAUUCUCGCUCAAGUUCAAGGACCAUAAUUUCCAGAAGUUUCCCAGUUGCUUGGGAAUUGGACCGCUUAAGUUGUUUGAUGCCAAGUCAAGGAUUUCAAGAUUGGAUAAGUUUCCCAAUUCCAGAGGAAUACUUCCUGAAAGUUUGUUGUUGCCUAGCAACAACUUGAACAGUAAAGGAAGCAUACCCAAUUCUUUUGGGAUCUUCCCAAUUAGAUGAUUUGAGGAGAGAUCAAGUUGUUGCAGUUGAAUUGCUUUCCCAAGUUGAGGUGGUAUAGCACCAGAAAUUUUGUUAUUGGAGAUGUUCAGGUUUGUGAGCAUGUGGCACUCCCCCCAUUUCUCAGAAAGGUCACCAUACAAAUUGUUACUGCUCAGAUCAAUAUAAUUUAGAUUAGGGUAUACACCAAAACUUUCGGCUAUGUCUCCAGUAAGUUGGUUAUUUUCAAGCCUAACUCUGAAUAAGCUAGUGCAAUUUUUCAAGCUCUUUGGAAUAGGACCAGUGAAAUGGUUCCUUUGGGCUGAAACUUUUUCAAGAGCAUUACCAAGGCAUAUCUCUUGUGGUAGGUGGCCAGUGAAGUUAUUCUCACCUAUCUGCAAAGAUUUCAAAUGAGUGAUAUUAUUCAUUUCUCGAGGAAUGGCACCACUAAGUUUGUUGGAAUGAAGAGCCAAAGUGGUUAAGCUGGACAAGUUUCCUAUAGAAGCUGGUAUUGAACCAAUGAGAUUGUUAAAUGAUAAGUCAAGAAUAUUAAGCAAUCUCAACAAUCCAAUUUCUUGAGGGAUAUAACCAAAAAGGCCAUUUUGAGAAAGAUACAAGGUGGUUAAGUUCCUCAAGUUUCCUACAAAAGAAGGGAUUGGACCAGUGAGAUUAUUACUUCCCAACUCAAGAACUAUAAGAGAUCUCAGUAACUCAAAUUCUUGAGGGAUGAAUCCAGAAAGUUUGUUACCAUAAAGAUAUAAAAGGCUUAACUUGGACAAGUUUCCUAAGGAAGCUGGUAUUGAACCGCUAAGAUUGUUGUCUGCCAAGUCAAGAUUCUCAAGUGAUGUCAAUAAUCCAAUUUCUUUAGGAAUGGAGCUAGAAAGUUGGUUACCAUAAAUGUAUAAAAUAAUUAAGUUCUUCCAAUUUUCUAUGGAAGUUGGUAGUGAACCAUUGAGAUUGUUAUAUGACAAGACUAGAUAAUUAAGAGAUCUCAACAAUGUAAUUUCUUGAGGAAUAGAACCAAAUAGAUUGUUUGAAUUAAGGUACAAAGUGGUUAAGUUCCUCAAGUUACCUAUGGAAGAAGGGAUUGGACCAAUGAAAUUGUUAGUUGACAAAUCAAUACUAGUAAGAGAUCUCAAUAAUCCAAUUUCUUGAGGAAUAAAACCAGAUAGUUUGUUUCUCAGAAGGAGCAAAGUGGUUAAAUUCCUCAAAUUACCUAUGGAAGGAGGGAUUGAGCCAAUGAGAUUAUUAGUUGACAAAUCAAUAACAUUAAGAGAUCUCAACAAUCCAAUUUCUUGAGGAAUAGAACCAGAUAGGUUGUUUGAAUUAAGGUACAAUGUGGUUAAGUUCCUCAAGUUCCCUAUGGAAGGAGGAAUUGGGCCUUUGAAAUUAUUAGAAGACAAUGCUAGAAAGCUAAGAGAUGUUAGAAAUCCAAGUUGGUCAGAUAUUACACCAAUGAAAUGAUUGAAACGAAAGUCCAAAACUAUGAUCAGUUUGGAAAGAUUGCCAAUGUUGAUUGGAAUGGUUCCAUAGAGGGAGUUGUUAUAAAGAUUAAGAGUAAGGAGGUUGGAAAGUGAUGAAAAAUUGAGAUUAUGGAGUGUACCUCUCAAACCGCAACUUUGAAGGUCUAAACUGGAGACACUUCCUGACCUGUGACAAGUCACUCCGAACCAAUGAUGGCAAGAAUUGCGUCCAGACCAAGAAAAGAGGAAAGAUUGGGUUUGAUUAUCAAGACUAGCCUUCCAUGUUAGAAGAGCAAGUGCUUCUUGAUCUUGUUCAACUUUCGAAAAAGAAGUGAUAGGUGUAGAGGCAAAUGUAAAAGUGACAUGGAAUGAUGAUAUUGAGUACAAAAGGAAAAGGAGAAAUAUGAAGAAGCAAGGAGUGAUGAUGAGUCGGGGGAGUAAGGAGUAGGAUGAAGGACAUCCAAGGGUCAUUGUUGAAUUGGUAGAAAUGAAGUUAUUAGGGGUUUACUUGGAGGGAAGGAAGAAGAUGAAACACUUAUUUAUAGGCUUAAAUGUGAUACAUCCAAUAUUUCCAUUGGUUUGUGUUGGCAUCCAACUACCUCAUUGGUCUACAAUUAAUGGAAUUGAAAAGGAUCAGAGUAUAUACAUUAAUUCAAUUCCACACUUAUUUUAUUUUAUUUUAUCACUCUUAAUUUUUUAAUUAAAAUGAAAUUAUUAAAAAUAUUCCUUUUUCACUCCAUUCACUUUUAAAUAUAAUUUGUUUGAAAUUAAUAAUUACAAUUCUUUCUAAGAAGUAAGGAUCAAAUAUGCUCAUGUCAAUAUCCUAGUUGAUAUAGGAAGUCCACUUGAGCAACAUUACUUGUACAUGUGCCUUUAUAUAAGCCACUUGAUAUUUUUUUUUUCAAAAAUUAAUAAAUAUAAGCUUUAAUGAGAGCAAAGAGAAUCGGGUACAUAUUUUAUUAUUAAAAAAUCUGCCAUGAAAUUUUUUUUGGUAGGCUUACGUUUUGCAUAAGAUAUAUAUAUUCAUUUUGCGUCAAGAAAUUGAAAAACAAAAAUUGAUUUAUUUGUUACUUAUAAAAUAAUUGAGAUCAUGCAUGGAAUUGCAUCUCAUCAAUUCUUCAUGAAGAAUUGGCUUGUAAGAAAUUGAUAUUUUUAAAUAUUUAAUUAGAAAUAUGUAAUAUUUACUAAGUUGAUUACAUUUCUUCUUUAAUUUGGUUUAGGUUUCUAAAAUUAUUAGUUCUCAAAUAUCUUAUUUUAAUUGUAUUAGAUAAGAAUAUAUAUAUAUAUAUAUAUAUAUAUAAUUAUCAUUUUCACGAUAUUGUUAAAUUACUCAUUUCUAGAAUUUUUAUUAUGUUAACAAAUGUUAAUAGUUUGAAAUAUUUGAAAAUAUGUUCAUUACCAUUUUUUUUGGUCAAAUUAUUAGUCUUGAAAUAUUUUUAUCAUAAUUAUAUAAAAUAAAAGCAAAUAUAAUAAACUUAAAGCAAAUAUAAUAAACUUAACACUUAAGAACAUUUAGAUAUCACUUUAAACAAAUAUAUUAUUCAAAGUCAUCCAUCUAGGUAUUACAUAAAUGAAGUUAUAGUUAACAUUCAUAUUAAAAAAUAAAUAAAUGUUACCUAGUAGUACGACAUAACCACACCAUUGUAGCUGAACUUUUCUUCUCUAAGUAGACUUCUUAUGAAAACUUUAUUUAUUUUUAGACUGCAUUCAAAUAAGGAUGUAUUGUGAAUUAAUUAGUAACUAGUAAAAUUUGCUUGUACUGUUUAUUAUUAUUAAAAGAGAUUUCUUACUUAUCAAUUAAAAUUACAGAUGUUGAUAUGAACAUAAAAUUCCCUUUUCAACUACAUGCAUUUCUAAUCAAGAUUUUUGUUGUUUUCAAUAGAGUGGAAUAGUCAUUGGUUUACUAGUUCUUAUCAAUAAUUGUUUUCAAGAAUCUAGACCCAAUAUUCAUAUCAUCAAUGGUAGCCAUCAAUUAUCCUAGUUGACGUGAGGGGUCUAAUCAAGGUGAAGUGUAUAUGAGCUUCAUGUAUUAAAUCUUACUAUUAAAAUAGAAAGUGAGGAUUGAAUCCAUUGUAUUAAGGCUAAGUAGUAGCCAUUACAAUGGUGGAACCUAGAUUUUUUUUUUCCUUUUUAAAAGGUAAAAUUUGUAUUGAAACUUCAUCUAUGUCAAGGCAUAGCACAAAUGAAGGGUGGCAUGCUUUCAAGUAGAAAUAAAAUAGAAUUUCAUUUUCUAAAUAGGUUAUUUUACCAUUGUUGUAAAUAAUUUCUUUUACUUCUUCCUUCCCAAGAGUCAAGAACUCCAGGAUAAUUGCUUCACAAUAUUUCCCAUCCAAUCAUUCCCAUCAAUUCUUCAUGAAGAAUUGGCUUGUAAGAGACUGAUUUUUUUUUUUUAAGUAUUUAAUUAGAAACAUGCAAUAAAAUGAUUAUACUUUUUCUUUAAUUUGGUUUAGGUUUCUAAAAUCAUUACUUCUCAACUAUCUUAUUUUAAUUAUAUCAAAUAAAAAUAUAUAAUUAUUAUUUCUUAAGAUGGUACUGUUAAAUUACUAAUUUUUAAAAUAUUUAUUAUUGUAACACAUGUUAAUAUUUUGGAAAAGAAAUUAUUACUAUUUUUUUUUCAAACAAUUAGUCUUGAAAUAUUUUUUUAAUUAUAAAAAAUAGAAACAAAUAUGAUAAUUAUUUUUGUAUAGAUAAUGAUACUUAAUUAGUAAUUUUUAGAUAUUCGUAGCAUGUAAAAAAAAAAAAGUAGACUUGACAUUUAAGAACAUUUAGAUACCACUUUAAGCAAAUAUAUUAUUCAAAGUUAUACAUCUAGCUCUCCUAGAUUUAAGUUAAAUAAAUGAAGUUAUAGUCGAAAUUCAUAUUAAAAAAUAAAUGUUACCUAAAAUUAAUUCCUAUGAUAUUGUAGUGGAACACAAUUUUUUUUUUCCUUUAAGUAGAAUUAUAUGAAAACUUCAUUUAUUUUUAGUGUAUAUUAAAAUAAUGAUUUGUUUUGAAUUAAUUAAGAAACUAAAAAAAUUAUUUGUACUCUUUAUUAUUAUUAAAAAAUAUUUCUUACUUAUCAAUUAAAAUUAUAUAUUUACAUAUGAAUAUAAAGUUCCCUUUCCAAUUGCAUGUUUUUAGUCAAGACUUUUGUUGUCUUUGAUAGAAUGGAAAAGUCAUUGCAUUCCUAAUUUUCUUAUCAACAAUUGUGUGGAAAAGUUAUUGCAUUCCUAAUUUUUGUCAACAAUUGUGUGCAAAAGUCAUUGCAUUCUUAAUUCUUUUGCACAAUUGUUUUCAAAGAAUCUACAUCUAAUAUUUACAUUAUCAAUGGUAUAUGUCAAUGAUCCUAAUUCAUGUGAGUGGUCUAAUUGGAGUGAAGUAUAUAUCAACCUCAUUUAUUAAAUCUUAGUAUUAAAAUAAAAAGUAGCGCUUGAAUACAUUGUAUCAAGGCUUUAGGAACAACAUUAUUAAUGCUGGGAAUCUAAAUCAAAUGAAAAGAUUUCUUAUUUGUCAAUUUAAAUUACAUAUUUAGAUAUGAAUAUAAAGUUUUCUUUCCAAUUGCAUGCUUUUAGUCAAGACUUUUACCGUCUUUAAUAGGGUGGAAAAUUUGUUGCAUUCCUAAUUCAUAUCUACAGUUGUAUGGAAAAGUCAUUGCAUUCCUAAUUCUUGUCAACAAUUGUGUGGAAAAGUCAUUGCAAUUAAAUACACUGUAUCAAGGCUUGAGGAAUGACAUUAUUAAUGCUGGGAAUCAAAUCAAUUGAAAAGAUUUCUUAUUUGUCAAUUAAAAUUACAUAUUUAAAUAUGAAUUUAAAGUUUUCUUUCCAAUUGCAUACUUUUAGUCAAGACUUAUACCGUCUUUAAUAAGGUGGAAAAUUUGUUGCAUUCCUAAUUCAUAUCAACAAUUGUGUGGAAAAGUCAUUGCAUUCCUAAUUUUUGUCAACAGUUGUGUGGAAAAGUCAUUGCAUUCUUAAUUCAUAUCAACAAUUGUGUGGAAAAGUCAUUGCAUUCCUAAUUCUUAUCAAUAAUUGUUUUCAAGGAAUCUAUACCUAAUAUGCACAUUAUCAGUGGUAGACGUCAAAUGCAAAUAAUUUCUUUUGCGUCUUGAAGAUUUUUACUUCAUAAUGUUGAGCAAAGAUGCAUCUAUUUAAGAGUGGUUUGUACUUUUUAUAAUAGGUAUUGUGAAAAAGGAUAUCUUCAAAAUGUAAAUUUUGUUAAUUUUUUCAAAUAAUAUUGCAUUAUUUUAAUUCAAUUUUCAAGUUAAUUAAAAGUGAAACUUAGAUCAAGGAUUGGACAUAAUAACAACAUUUCCUAUUAAUAGAUUUAAUAAUAAAAAAGAUGAGUUUUUUUUUUCAAAUAUAUAUACGUCAAAAGAGAAUUUAUGUUAUGUUUUUCUUAAAAAAGAAAAGUUUCAUGACUGAAUAUACCACUCAAUUCAAUUCAAAAAACUUAUUUUUGAAUAUUUGUGGUUUAGUUCAAUUCCAUGACUAAAUAAUUGGCCAUGUUUAUUGGGAUUUAAAGUCUUGGUCAAACUUGAUGUAAUAUUUUAACUGCCAAUGAAAAAUAAAUAAAGUGAUAAAUUGACUAAGAGUCCAUUUGGAAAGUAGGGCCAAAAAUGGCUUCAAAUUCUUAAAGAUUAUGUUUUACUAAAAAUUAAUCAUUUGAAAAAAAAAAUUGUAAUCAUUUUAAAGUUAUAAAACAAUCGAGGGUACUUCUUAAAUAAAGACUUGAUAAAUACUUUUAAAAGACAUUAUAAAAAACUCGUGAAAAAUAUUUGAAUUUCAAAUAAAUGUUCUUGUUAAAAUAAAAAAAAAGAAUACAUUUUUCAAGCAUUUUUAUUAAAAAGACUUUCAAAUAUAUUUUUACUUGAUAUCCUUGAAUUGUUAAUACGAUUGUGAACUCCAUUUAAUUUUUUUUCUUUAAAAAGUUGGGCAAAUCAUAAAAAAUGGUAGGUCAUGUGUGAUAAUUCUUUUCAAGGAUCACCAUGUUUACAAGUUCAUGUUAGUCCUCAAGUAAUGAUUUAAAAGUUGACAAUUUCAUAAUUCUAAUUAUACCCUCUUUUAUAUUUUCCUCUUAUUCCCAUUCAACUUUACUUUCCUUUUUUUUUUUCUUUUAUAAUUUUUUUACUUAUUUUUGUUAUGAGGUAUUAAUAUUAUUGUUUAGAUAUUAGUAGAAUUAUUCAUGUUAUUAUUAAUAUCAUUCUUAUUAAUAUUAUUUAUUAUUUUUAUAAUUAUUAUGGACUUUAUUAUUCAUAUUUUUAAUAUUAUAGUAAAAAUAAUAUUAUUAUAUUUUUAUCAUUAGUACUACAAAGAAACCUGGAAGAUAAUUUAUAUUUUUUUUAAUUCUUAAGGCUUGUAAGCUUUAUUAAAAAAUUAUUUAUUUAUUUAUUUAUUUAUUUUGCCUUUUAUGCUUUAUAUGCUACAUUAAGACUAAUUAAAUUAUUAUUGCCACCCCAUUAAUAUUAUUAUUUAUGAUAUUAGUUUUAUAUAAUUAAUAAAACUAAUAUUAUAUCAAAGUUAUAGAUAUGACAAAAAUGCAUUGAUCUUACAACAUUAAUACUUUAAAUAUAUAAUAUAUUACGACAUAACCUAAUUUUAUUUUAAUUCUUUUUUUAAACAAACACCUGUGAAUACUUGCUCUAUACUCCUUAAAAUUUUCUAAAUGGCUUCAAAAUGUAAGCACAACAUUUAUAUAUUGUACUUAAAACAUAAAUACGCUAAAAUAUGAUGCAUUAUGACAAGCCUUAAGUUUACUUUUUAACAAUUAUAAAAACAAAUAUUUUUAUUGUAAUAUUUUCUUAAUAGUUCUAUUACAAAAUUAAACAUUUUUAAAUUGAUGAAAUCUAUAUAAUAAAAAUUAUAAUAGCUUUAUAUUUUUAAUUAUCAAAAUGAAACAAUAAUUUGUAAAUUUAAUAUAUUAUGAUUAUUAUUAUUAUUAUUAUUAUGGAUAAGUUAUUGAUAAUAUUUUUAAAAUUGUAAUUAAUAAAAUUGUAAUUUAUAAUUAAUGUUUAUAUUAUUUAUAUGGAUUGAUAUUAAUAAUAUUAUUACUUGAUAGCUUAAUAAUAAUAAUAAUAAUAAUAAUUAGAAAAGAAAAAGAGAAAAUAGAGAAAAGAGGGAUAUGCUUGGUUUUAAAGUGGAAAGAGUCAGAGUAUACUUAACUUUUUGUAUUUUGAGGCAUAUGGAAGACUUAUCAAAGUUGAUGACCUUUUUGGGACAUUAUCACCUAUAACUCAUCCUAUAUGGAAAUUUUCCCUAAAAUGUUUUACUAAUGGGUUUAAAAUCCCUCCUUAAAGCACAUGAGGAUAUUUAUGAACUAUUUGAAUGGAAAUUGGAGUUAAACUCAACCAUGAGAGUGACUUAGUUUAGUGGAAUAUAUAGUUAGAAGAUAAAUCUAACCCAACUCUCUCUUUACCUAUAAGACAAAACUCAUUUCUUUGUAUACUGAGAUGCAAAAAUUGCAUAUAAAUAGGCUCUUUUUAGUUAAAAUUGUGUUCCAUGAUCAUAUCACAGAUUAAGUUAAAUAAGAAGUAAAAAUUUCUAAAUUAAUUUUUUUAUUAAAAUGAUUUCUUAACUGUGAAGUAAAUUAAUCUUACAUAUGUAUGUAAAAAAAAAUUUACUUUUAUUCUUAUUAAAAUAGGUGGAGGUGUUUAAUAAUUCUCCUUAUCAAAUCCUAGUCCUAACCCUAAUUCUAAUCAUAAUUAUUUCUCAUUUCUUUUUUUUCCUUUUCUUCCAUUCUAUUAUAUUUAAAUACUUAAAUUAAAUCAUUAACUCAAUUUAUCAUAUUCAUCUUAACGUGAAAAACUUUUAAACCACUUAGUGAAUCCCCUCUGUUCAUUAUUCAUGAUUGAUUGAUUAAUGUAAAGAUAACAAUACUGUUUAUAUGUAAUUUAGAGACUCUCACCCUAGACUUAUACAUAUCAAUUGCUAUUAGAAAAAAAUAAAUAAAUAAGCACAAAAACAAAUUAAUUUUAAAACUAAAAAAUAUUUAUUUGUACUUUUAUUACUAUUAAAACAUAUUUCUUACUUGUCAAUUAAAAUUACAUAUUUACUUAAAGUUCCCUUUCCAAUUGCAUGUUUUUAGUAAAGACUUUUGUUGUCUUUGAUAGGGUGGAAAAGUCAUUGCAUUCCUAAUUUUUUUUAUCAACAAUUGUGUGGAAAAGUUGUUGCAUUCCUAAUUUUUGUCAACAAUUGUGUGCAAAAAGUCAUUGCAUUCUUAAUUCUUUUGCACAAUUGUUUUCAAAGAAUCUAUAUCUAAUAUUUACAUUAUCAAUGGUAUAUGUCAAUGAUCCUAAUUUAUGUGAGUGAUAUAUGUCAACUUCAUUUAUUAAAGCUUAGUACAAAAAUAAAAAGUAGCAAUUGAAUAAAUUGUAUCAAGGCUUUAGGAAGGACAUUAUUAAAGUUGGAAAUCUAAAUCAAUUAAAAAGAUUUCUUACUUGUCAAUUUAAAUUACAUAUUUAGAUAUGAAUAUAAACUUUUCUUUCCAAUUACAUGUUUUUAGUCAAGACUUUUUUCCGUCUUUAAUAAGGUGGAAAAGUUGUUGCAUUCCUAAUUCAUAUCAACAGUUGUGUGGAAAAGUAGUUGCUUUCCUAAUUUUUGUCAACAAUUGUAUGGAAAAGUCAUUGUAAUUGAAUACAUUGUAUCAAGGCUUGAGGAACAACAUUAUUAAUGCUAGGAAUCUAAAUCAAUUAAAAAGAUUUCUUAUUUUUUUAAUUACAAUUACAUAUUUAGAUAUGAAUAUAAAAUUUCCUUUCCAACUGCAUGUUUUUAGUCAAGACCUUUUUUGUCUUUGAUAGGGUGGAAAAGUCAUUGCAUUUCUAAUUUUAUCAAUAUGUAAUUGCGUGGAGAAGUUGUUGCAUUCCUAAUUCUUGUCAACAAUUGAAUGCAAAAGUCAUUGCAUUCUUAAUUCAUAUCAACAAUUGUGUGGGAACGUGGUUGCAUUCCCAAUUCUUGUCAACAAUUGUGUGGAAAAGUCAUUGCAUUCCUAAUUCUUAUCAACAAUUGUUCUCAAGGAAUCUAUAGCUAAUAUUCACAUUAUCAAUGGUAGACGUCAAUUGCAAACAAUUUCUUUUGUUUCUUGAUUUGCAAGACUCAAGAACUUGUAGAUUUUUACUUCAUAAUGUUGAACAAAGAUGCAUCUAUUUAAGAGCGGUUUGUGCUUUUUAUAAUAGGUAUUAUGAAAAAGGACAUGUUCAAAAUGUAAAUUUUGUUAAUUUUUUCAAAUAAUAUUGCAUUAUUUUAAUUCAAAUAAAGAAAAAAUGGUUUAAAAUACUCAAAAAUAUGUUUUACUAAAAAUUAAUCAUUUGAAAAAAAAAUUAUUGCUAAAAAAAAAAACACUACUUGGAGUGCUUCUUAUUGGAUAAACACUUGACGAUUAUUUCUUUUAAAAGAUAAAAAAAGUAUGAAAAAUACUAAUAUGUUAUAUAAAUAUUCAUUUUACAAAAAUACACUGUUCUAGUAUUUUUAUUAAAAACAAAGUAAAGAGGACAAUAUCUUCUAUAUGUAAUUUAAAUACUCUCAUCUAGACUUAGCUAUUAUAAAAAACAAAAACUUAAUGCACAAAAAUUGGAAUGAGGAAGUAAAAAUAAUGAUGAAAAUAUUAGUUUUGAUAGAUAUACUAGUAACUCGAUUUUACAGAUAUAUCAAGAUAUAUCGGAAAAUAUCGGUGUAACAAAAAUUGAUCAAAACUCAUUAAAAUGUUAAGAAAAAAUUAUAAAAAAAAAUGAUAUAAGAAGUAAUAAUUAAUAUUUUAAAGUUGUUUUGUUAAAGAAAUUAUUAUAUAUAUGAUAUAUUUUUUUUGUAUUUGAUAAUAAUGUUGUGUGCACCAAUAAAAAAUAUAAAUUUUAUAAAUAUACAUUCAUUACUGAGUUACAUUAAAUAUUAUUAGACAAUAAUAUUGUGACAUUUUAUUAUAGUAUAUCUAACUUCAAAAUAUAAUUAAUAUUAAAAUUAUGAUCCAUUUAAUUCAAUUAUAUUCAAUGAUAUAAAAUAAAUGAUAAUAUAUGAAUAAAUUUUUUAAUAUUUAUGUUUUUUUAUAUUUAAUUAAUAUAUAAAUGAGAUAUCUUAAGAAAAUUAUCACAAUAGUUUUUAUAUUUUUAGUGAUUAAUUAAAUGAAAUUUUAAAAUAAGAUGAUUAAAAUUAAUUUAUUUAUUAAAAUAUUCUUUGAAUGUUUUGCUUUUAUGAUGCAUUUUAGGUUUUUUUUUUUUUUUUUUUGGGUGCACUAAGUAUAAUAAAAGGGCAGGUUUGCCCAGUGGUGAAGCAAGGUUACUUUUGGACAUUUUGUCUUGACCAGUCUCAACACCUACCACAAGCCAACUUUAGGAUCAUAAAUAAUAGAUGAAAAAUAAUUAUUACAGUAAUAAUGAGGUUGUCAUUUUAUUUAAUUAAUCAACUAUUCUAGUUGUGGAAUGUACUAUGCAUAGGUUCCAUGAAUUAAAUUAUUGUAUAAAAUGUCUCAUAAGAAAAAUGCCGCUUGGCUUACUAUUUAUAAAUUUUUUUUAAUUAAUUAAAUUGUAUAAAUAAUUAUGAGUCCAAUAGGAUAUAUUUUUUUAUUUUAUAUUUAAAAAAAAAACAUUAACUUCUAUAUAAAAUAUAAAAAGUCUUAUGGUCUUAUAUGAAAAAUGCAGUGAUUUAUUUAAAUUGAUUAAAAAAUUGAGAGAUUAAAAAAAUUUUAUUACCUCAAAUUUUAAUAUAUAUUUUUAGAAAAAUAGAAACAUAAGGUAAAUUCAUACUUUUUAUAUAAAAUUUUUUAUUUUUUAUAUAAAAGUUUUUAUUUUCAAAAACAAAAAAAGAAAAAGAAAAUAUAUCUAAAUGAAGUUUAAAUACUUAAAUUAAAUAUAAUAAAUAAUGACAUUUUACUUAAACCAAUAAUUAAAAGUGAUAAUAAAAAACUUAUAAAUAAAAAAUUAUACUUAAUAAAGAGAUUUAAGAGUAAUUAAUUCCAAAGAAAUUUGAAACAAAGACCAAGUCAUGUCAUUCGUGGGGAUCCGACACAUGUUUAGUGUAUGGCUCAAGUUUGUCCAAGUGCUGUCAAAUAAUAAAUAUAUUAUCAACUUAACAAUCGAAAUAAUUGCUUGGGCUUUACCCAUUCAAAAGUCUUUGCCCAGCAUCAAGUCUAAGUUUGUCCACGUACUCUCAAACAAGAAAUUUAUUGUCGACUCAACAACUCUCUGAUUACAAAAAACAAUGGAAAUAAUUUGUCCUUGCUUGGCCCAUUUUUAAAGUCUUUGGCCAGCGUCAAGUCAACUCGAAAAGAGUGUAAUCAUGUUCCUAUAUUUGCUUCUCAAAAAUACGAAGGAAAAAAAAAAUUACAAUGAAAUAAUUUUCCCAUAUUUUAUUAUACUAUAAAAAAAUAUAUGAUAAUUAUAUUUUUAUCUUAUUCAAUAAUAAUAUUAUAUAUAUAUCAUUAAAAAAAUAUAAAUUUUAUAAAUAUACAUUAAUUAUUAAAUUAAAUUAAAUAUUAUUAGACAAUAAUAUGUUUAACUUUAAAAUAUAAUUAAUAUUAAAAUUACGAUUCAUUUAAUUCAAUUAUAUUUAAUGAUAUAAAAUAAAUAAAAAUAUAUGUAUACAUUUUAUUUUAAUAUUUAUGUUUUUUAUAUUUAAUUAAUAUAUAAAUGAUAUAAAAAAAUUUCUUAAAAAAAUUAUCACGGUAGUUUUAAAAAAAUCUCUUAAAAAAUCAGUUUAAGAAAACAAAGACAAACAAUUGAAAAUAAUUAAAAUAUGUUACAUAAAAUAUCAUCUUUAGUGUUUUUUUUAAGAAUAAAAAACUAUAUAUAUAUAUAUAUAUAUAUAUAUGUGAUACUAUAUUUUAAGAGAAUAUCUUUUGGUUAUUUUUAGUUAUUUUCACUUGUUUUUUGAAAUAUAUUUUAAAAAAUAAUUAUAUAAAUAUGGGGAAUUAUUAAAAAUAAAACAUUAUAGAUAAAAAUUUAUUUUAAAACUAUAUUAAAAAAUAUAGAAAAUAUGUUAAAAACGUUUCAUAUUUUCAAACCAGCUUUGUUCUAUAAAACAUUAAAGAAUAAUUUUCUAAAAAUUGUUUUUCAAAAUUAUUUUUAAAAAAAAAUACUUUCCAAACAAAACCUUAACAAUUCUCUUUAUCAAAUUCUAAUUCCAACUCUAAUCCUAAUCAUAAUUAUUUUCCUUGUCUUUCCUUUCCUUUUUUUUCCUUCCCUUCUAUUCCCUAAUUAUAUAUAAGUAUUUAAAUUAAGACAUUAAAUCAGUUUAUCAUAAGCAUCAUGUCAAUGACUUUUAAACCACUUGGUGGAUCCACUCAUCCAUCAUUCAUGAUGGAUUAAUCCACGGAAAGAUAACAACAUCUUCCUAGACUUGUACAUGUGGAUAGCUAUUAGAAAAAAAAAAACAAAAUUUAAUGCACAAAAAUUGGGAUGAAGAAAUAAAAGAAACUCAUCAAUGGUUACAACUGGUACGUGAAUGAAUAGAUGGAAGAGAACACAACAACCAAUCAUAAAUAAGAGAUGAAAAACAAUUAUUAUAGCAAUAAUGAAGCUGUCCUUUUGUUUAAUUAAUCAACUGUUCAAACUGGGGAUGUACCAUAAAUGGGACCAUGAAUUAAAUUAUUGUAUAAAAUGUCUCAUAAGAAAAAUGUUGCUUCACUUACUUUCAAUACAUUUUUUUAAUUAAUUAAGUUUUAUAAAUAAUUAAGAGUCCAUUAGGAUGGAUUUUUUAUUUUCUAUUUUAAAAAAUAAAAAAUAAGGAUAAAUUCCAUAUAAAAUAUAAAAAGUUUUAUAAUCUUAUAUAAAAAAAAUGCAAUGGUUUUUUUUAAAAUUGAUUAAAAUUUUGAGAUAUUAAAAAACAUUAUCGCCUCAAAUUUUGAAAUUUAUUUAAAAAAUUUAGAAACAUAAACUAAGUCUAUAUUUUUUAUAUAAGAGUUUCUAUUUUUUAUAUAAAAAUUUUUAUUUUUAAAAAUAAAAAACUAAAAAUAUCUAUAUAAAUAAAGUGUUAAUACUUAAAUAAAAUUGAUCAAAUAAUAACAUUUUACUUAAACCAAUACUUAAAAGUGACAAUAAAAAACUCAUAAAUAAAAAAAGAAUACUUAGUAAAAGAUUUAAGACUAAUUAAUUUUUUUAAAAAAAAUUGAAACAAAGACCAAGUCAUAUCAUUCAUUGAGAUCCGACAUAGUUUGUCUAAGUAUUGUCAAAUAAUAAAUUUAUUAUUUGACUAAGUACAAUAAAUUUAUUAUCAACUCAACAACUCGUACCAAAACAAUUGAAAUAAUUGUCCAUGUCGGACCCAUUUUAAAGUCCUUUCCUAAGGUCCAAAUUUGUCUACAUACUGCCAAAUGAUAAAUUUAUUAUUAACUCAAUAACUCUCUGAGUACAAAAACAAUCAAAAUAGUUGUCCGAACUAUUUUAAAGUCUUUGCCCAACAUCAAAUCAACUCGAAAAAUGUGUAAUAAUGUUCCUAUAUUUGCUUCUAAAAAAUUGUCAAGGAAAGAAAAAAAAUAUUGCAAUCAAAUAAUUUUCUCAUGUUUUAUUAUACCACUAAAAAUAAUUUAUCAACACUCAAGUGAACUUAGUGGUGCACCCAACUUUUUUUCUUUGUUUAAAAAAAAAAGAAGAAAUUUUUAGGAUAUGAAUGAAAAAUAUAAAAUAAGGUUAAAGUUUUGAUAGGAUGAGAGGCAGUCAGAGGUUGCCGAACAAAGUAUUUUUGUCAUUUCAUAUCUAAUAUUUAUGUGAAAAAAAAAAAAAUUAGGGUAGGAAGAUUUAGGUCCAAUUUUGAUAAUUGUUUUUUAUAAUAGUUUCUUAAAAUUAUUUUAUGAUGUUUAAUAGAAUACUUGUAUGAUUAUGAAUGCAAAAUGUUUUAACAUAUUUUCUAUAUUUUAAAAAUAAAUUUUGUAUGUACUAUUUUAGUUUUAAUUAUUUUUUAUAUUUAUAUAAUUAUUUUUUAAGACAACUCAAGAAAAUAAGGGAAAAUAAUUGAAAGUAAAUAAAUAAUGUUAUCUGAAAAAUAUCAUAUUUUAUGUUUUUAAGAACAAAAAAUUAUUUUCUAUUCUUAAAAAUAGAAAAGAAAUAGAAAGUAUAAUACCAUAUUUUUAGAGAACAUCUUCUAGUUAUUUUUUGUUGUUUUUACUUGUAUUUUGAAGGUUAUUUUAAAAAAUAAUUAUAUAAAUAUGUAAAAUGAUUACAAAUAAAGCAUUAUAAAUAAAAAGAAAAUUAUUUUAAAAACAUAUUGAAAAAUAUAAAAAUAGGUUAAAAAAAUUUCAUGUUCUCAAAUAUACUUUGUUUUAUAAAACAUUAAAGAGAUAUUUUAAAAAAACACUUUCCAAAUAAAACCUUAAUAAACCUCUUUAUCAAAUCCUAAUCCUAACUCCAAUUCUAAUCAUAGUUAUUUUCCUUCUCUUUCAUUUCCUUUCCUUUUCUUUACUUCUAUUAUCUUCUUAUACAUAAAUAUUUAAACUAAGAUAUUACAUCAAUUUAUCAAACCCAUCUUAAGGAUCGUGUCAACAACUUUGGAUCCACUCAUCCAUCAUUGAUGAUGGAUUGAUCCAAGGAAAAAUAACAAUAUCUUCUCUACGUAAUUUAAGUCAUCGCCCCUUAGACUUGUACAAGUGAAUAACUUUUAGGAAAAAAAGAAAAAAAAAUUUAAUGCACAAAAAAUGGGAUGACGGGGGAAAGGAAACUCAUGCAUGUUCAUAGCUGUUACAUGAAUAGAUUGAAGAGCACACAAAAACAAUUAUUACAACAAUAAUGGAGUUGUCCUUUUGUUUAAUUAAUCAAGUAUUCAAGUUGGGGAAUGUACUAUACAUGGGACCAUAAAUUCAUUUAUUGUACAAAAUGUCUCAGAAUAAAAAUGUUACUUGGCUUACUGUUUUUACAUUCUUUUUUAAUUAAUUAAGUUGUAUAAAUAAUUAUGUGUCCAUUUGGAUAGAUUUUUUAUUUUCUAUUUUUAAAAAUAAAAAAUAACAAUAACUUCUAUAUCAAAUAUAAGAAGUCUUAGAAUCUUUUGUAAAAAAUGCAGUGAUUUUUUUUUAAAAAAAAUUGAGAUGUUAAAAAGUUUUAUCACCUCAAAUUUAAUUUAAAAAAAAAAACAAAUAGGAGCAUUAGACAAGUCUAAACUUUUUAUAUAAAAAAAAUCUAUUUUUUUUAUAUAGAAAUUGCUAUUUUAAAAAACAUAAAACAAAAAAUAUAUUUAAAUGAAACAUAAAUACUUCAAUAAAAUUUAUCAAAUAAUGACAUUUUACAUAAACCAAUAAUUAAAAUGAUAAUAAAAAAACUUGUAACAAAAAAUUAGACAUAGUAACGAGAUUUAAGACUAAUUAAUUUCAAAGAAAUUGGAAACAAAUGAUCAAGUCAUGUCAUUCGUGGGGAGAUCUGACACAUGUUUAGUGUAUGGGGGUGGAGUUAGAAAUAGGAUUCAAGGGGGCAAUACGAGAUAUAUUAGUUUUUCGAGGUUAAAUGUGAGCCAAAAAGUAACAUUUAACUUGCUGGUUGGUUUGAUCCUCUUUAAAAUUGAGGUUUUGGGAUCAAAAUCUCAUUGAAUGGUAGUUCUUUUAUUUUUUAGAGAGGGGGCAUCUACUCUGCUUGAGCCCUUUAGACCCAUUUUAAAGUCUUUGCCCAACAUGAAGUCAACUUUAUAUUUGUUUUGAAAAAAUAUUAUAUUCAGAUUACUUCAAGAAAGCUCAAGAGACCUAAUUAUUUAUUAUGAACUAAAGCGAUGAUGGUGUAUAUUGAGACAAAAUAAAAACUAAAACAUAUCAUAGAAUAUCCUUCUCCAUAGAAAGUUUUGAUGAGUAGCAACAAGAUGAUCAUGAUAGUAACAUGGUUGUGGAACAAUAUGAAAUCUUAUGUUAGUGUUAAUUUCAUGUUCUUAGAAACUGUAAAGCAAAUAUGAGGAGUAGUGAAAGAGACAUACUUUCAAGAAUUUAUUAAUUGUAUGAAGAUAUUUUUGGGACAGAGCAUAAUGAGAAAUCUAUGAGUAAGCACUAUGCAUCCCUUAAAGGGAUGUGGGACUAGACAGGGAAUCUACCAUACAUGGACCCAUAAAUUAAAUUAUUGUACAAAAUGUCUCAUAAGGAAAAUGUUACUUGCCUUAGUAUUUAUACAUUUGUUUUUAAUCAAUUAAGUUGAACAAAUUAUUAAGAGUCCAUUAGGAUUAUUUUUUUUAUUAACUUCCAUAUAAAAUAUAAGAAGUCUUAGAAUCUUAUGGUUUUUUUAAAAUUGAUUAAAAAAAUUUAUCACCUCAAAUUUCAAUUUUUUUUUUUAAAAUAGAAAUAUAAUGAAAGCCUAUAUUUUUUUAUAUAAGAAUUUCUAUUUUUUAUAUAAAAGUUUCUAUUUUUAAAAACAAAAAAAGAACAAAAAAUAUAUUUAGAUGAAGUGUAAAUACUUAAAUAAAAUUUAUCAAAUAAUGAUAUUUUACUUAAAUCAAUAAUUAAAAGCGAUAAUAAAAAACCUCAUAAAUAAAAAAGUAUAUUUAAUAAAGAGAUUUAAAACUAAUUAAUUUCAAAGAAAUUUGAAGCAAAGGACCAAGUCAUGUCAUUCACGGGGAUCCAACACAUGUUUAGUGCAUGCCCAAGUUUGUCCAAGUACUAUCAAAUAAUAAAUUUAUUAUCAACUUAACAACUCUUUAUUAAAGUCUUUGUCCAACAUGAAGACUAAGUUUGUCAAAGUACUGUCAAAUAUUAAAUUUAUUCUCAACUCAACAACUCCCAAAGUAAACAUUCGAAAUAAUUGCCCCUGCUGAAAAAUAUGUAAUCUUAUUCCUAUAAUUGCUCCAUAAAUUAUUAAGGAAAUAAAAAAAAUUUGCUAUAAAAUAAAUUUCUCAUAUUUUAUUAUACUAUUAAAAUUAAUUGGUCAGCACUUAGCAGUUAAUCUAAUCGUGCACCCCAAAUUUUUUUCUAUGUUCCAAAAAAAAGAAAAAAAAAAAAAAAACAAGAAGAAGAAGAAGAAGAAAUUUUUAGGAGAAUAGAAGGAAAUGAAUGAGAAAAAAAAGAAGGUAAAAUAAGAUCACGGUUUAGUCGGGAUGAGAGUUGAGAGGCUGAAGAACAAAGUAUUUUUUUCAUUUCAUAUCUAAGAAUUGUAUGAAAAAUAAAAUAAAAUAAAAUAAAGCUGAGGGUGAGAAGAUUUAGGUCUCGUUGAUAAUUGUUUUUUAAAAUAGUUUUUUAGAAUAGAUCUUUAAAACUGUUUUAUGAUAUUUUGUAGAACACAUAUAUGUUUGGGAAUGUCAAAUUUUUUAAACAUGCUUUUUAUGUUUUAAAUAUAAUUUAAAAAUAAAUUUUGUAUGUAACAUUUUAGUUUUAAUUAUUUUUCAUGUUUGUGUAAUUAUUUUUUAAAACAACUUAAGGAAAGAAGGGAAAACAAUUGAAAAUAACUAAAAAAAUGUUAUUCAAAACAUCAUAUUUUCAGUGUUUUUUUUUAAGAACCAAAAACUAUUUUCUAUUUUUAAAAACAUAAAAGAAGCAAAAAAAAUAUAUGACACUAUAUUUUAAGAGAACAUCUUUUGAUUAUUUUUAGUCGUUUUUAUUUGUUUUUUGAAAUCUAUUUUAAAAAAUAAUUAUAUAAAUAUAGAGAAUGAUUAAAAAUAAACAUUAUAGAUAAAAAAAUAUUUUAAAACUAUAUUUAAAAAUAUAAAAAAUAAAUUAAAAACAUUUCAGAUUUUCAAACAAAUUUUGUUCUAUAAAACAUUAAAGAAUACUUUUCUAAAAACUAUUUUUCAGAAUUAUUUUUAAAGAACAAUUUCCAAACAAAACCUUAACAAUUAUCUAUAUCAAAUUCUAAUCCCAACUCUAAUCCUAAUCUUAAUUAUUUUCCUUGUCUUUCCUUCCCUUCUUUUUCCUUCCCUUCUAUUCCCUUAUUAUAUAUAAGUAUUUAAAUUAAGACAUUAAAUCAGUUUAUCAAACCCAUCUUAAUCAAUCAGUUUAUCAUAAGCAACAUGUCAAAGACUUUUAAACCACUUGGUGGAUCCACUCAUCCAUCAUUCACGAUGGAUUAAUCCAUGGAAAGAUAACAACAUCUUCUUAGACUUGUACAUGUGGAUAACUAUUAGAAAAAAAAAAUUUAAUGCACAAAAAUUGGGAUGAAGAAAUAAAAUAAACUCAUCAAUGGUUACAGCUGGUACAUGAAUGAAUAGAUGGAAGAGAACACAACAUCCAAUCACAAAUAAUAGAUGGAAAACAAUUAUUAUUGUCCUUUUGUUUAAUUAAUCAACUAUUCAAGUUGGGGGAUGUACCAUACAUGGGACCAUGAAUUAAAUUAUUGUACAAAAUGUCUCAUAAGAAAAAUGGUGCUUCCCUUACUUUCUAUACAUUUGUUUUUAAUUAAUUAAGUUACAUAAAUAAUUAAGAGUCCAUUAGGAUGGAUUUUUUGUUUUCUAUUUUAGAAAAUAAAAAAUAAGGAUAACUUCUAUAUAAAAUAUAAAAAGUCUUAUAAUCUUAUAUAAAAAAAAUGCAAUGGUUUUUUGAAGUAAGUUUCUCAAUUCUUCAACCAAUUGCAAAACCGAAAUAUCUCUAGCAUUUUUCAACACAGCAUUAAGGCUUUCAACGAUCCCUAUCGUCAUGAUAUUAUAUCUUUUUCCGAUAGAAUAUGAAUGUGCCCAUCGAUCACCUCCUAUAUCCAUCAAAUAUCUUGCUGCUCUUGGGUCAAUCAUCUCUAGUUGUCCAAAUAUAAAAUUAAACUCUGAAACACGAUAAGCAUGGGCAGCAUCAUGAAAUAAUUUAUGAAUUACAAGAUUCUUGAACUUUGUCUUCAAAUUUUGUCCAACAUGAUAAAUGUAGACACCAUGCCUCGCAUGGGGAAAUACUUUAUGUACCGCUUUCUCAAUGCUACCAUGUCGAUCUGAUAUCACAAACAAAUCAUCAAUGUGUCCAAGUGCAUCAUGCAGUUUUUGUAAACACCACUCCCAUGAGGCAUCAUUUUAUGAAUCACCACUCCCAUGAUGGAUUGAUCCAAGGAAAAAUAACAAUAUCUUCUAUAUGUAAUUUAAGUCAUCGCCCCCUAGACUUGUACAAGUGAAUAACUAUUAGGAAAAAAAGAAAAAAAAAAAUUAAUGCACAAAAAAUGGGAUGACGGGGUAAAGGAAACUCAAGCAUGUUCAUAGCUGUUACAUGAAUAGAUUGAAGAGCACACAAAAACAAUUAUUACAACAAUAAUGGAGUUGUCCUUUUGUUUAAUUAAUCAAGUAUUCAAGUUGGGGAAUGUACUAUACAUGGGACCAUAAAUUCAUUUAUUGUACAAAAUGUUUCAGAAUAAAAAUGUUACUUGGCUUACUAUUUUUACAUUCUUUUUUAAUUAAUUAAGUUGUAUAAAUAAUUAAGUGUCCAUAUGGAUGGAUUUUUUAUUUUCUAUUUUUAAAAAUAAAAAAUAACAAUAGCUUCUAUAUAAAAUAUAAGAAGUCUUAUAAUCUUUUGUAAAAAAUGCAGUGAUUUUUUUUUAAAAAAAAAAUUGAGAUGUUAAAAAGUUUUAUCACCUCAAAUUUAAUUUAAAAAAAACAAAUAGGAGCAUUAGACAAGUCUAAACUUUUUAUAUAAAAAAAAUCUAUUUUUUUUAUAUAGAAAUUGCUAUUUUAAAAAACAUAAAACUAAAAAUAUAUUUAAAUGAAACAUAAAUACUUCAAUAAAAUUUAUCAAAUAAUGACAUUUUACAUAAACCAAUAAUUAAAAUGAUAAUAAAAAAACUUGUAACAAAAAAUUAGACAUAGUAACGAGAUUUAAGACUAAUUAAUUUCAAAGAAAUUGGAAACAAAUGAUCAAGUCAUGUCAUUCGUGGGGAGAUCUGACACAUGUUUAGUGUAUGGGGGUGGAGUUAGAAAUAGGAUUCAAGGGGGCAAUACGAGAUAUAUUAGUUUUUCGAGGUUAAAUGUGAGCCAAAAAGUAACAUUUAAUUUGCUGGUUGGUUUGAUCCUCUUUAAAAUUAAGGUCUUGGGAUCAAAAUCUCAUUGAAUGGUAGUUCUUUUAUUUUUUUAGAGAGGGGGGACAUCUGCUCUGUCUGAGCCCUUCAGACCCAUUUUAAAGUCUUUGGUCAUGAAGUCUAUAUUUGUUUUGAAAAAAAAUAUUAUAUUCAGAUUACUUCAAGAAAGCUCAAGAGACCUAAUUAUUUAUUAUGAAUUAAAGCAAUGAUGUUGUAUAUCGAGACAAAGGAAAAACUAAAACAUCUCAUAGAAUAUCCUUCUCCCUAGAAAGUUUUGAUGAGUAGCAAUCAUGAUUCACAAUAGAUUAAUCCAUGGAAAGAUAACAACAUCUUCUUAGACUUGUACAUGUGGAUAGCUAUUAGAAAAAAAAAAAAAAAAUUAAUGCACAAAAAUUGGGAUGAAGAAAUAAAAUAAACUCAUCAAUGGUUACAGCUGGUACAUGAAUGAAUAGAUGGAAGAGAACACAACAUCCAAUCACAAAUAAUAGAUGUAAAACAAUUAUUAUUGUCCUUUUGUUUAAUUAAUCAACUAUUCAAGUUGGGGGAUGUGCCACACAUGGGACCAUGAAUUAAAUUAUUGUACAAAAUGUCUCAUAAGAAAAAUGUUGUUUCCCUUACUUUCUAUACAUUUUUUUUAACUAAUUAAGUUAUAUAAAUAAUUAAGAGUCAUUAGGAUGGAUUUUUUAUUUUCUAUUUUAAAAAAUAAAAAAUAAGGAUAACUUCUACAUAAAAUAUAAAAACUUAUAAUCUUAUAUAAAAAAAUGCAAUAGUUUUUUAAAAUUGAUUAAAAAAUUGAGAUACUAAAAAAAAUUAUCACCUCAAAUUUUGAAAUUUAUUUAAAAAAUUUAGAAACAUAAUCUAAAUUUAUAUUUUUUUUAUAUAAGAGUUUCUAUUUUUUAUAUAAAAAUUUCAUUUUUAAAAAAUAAAAAACUGAAAAAUAUAUAUAAGUAAAGUGUAAAUACUUAAAUAAAAUUUAUCAAAUAAUGACAUUUUACUUAAACCUAUACUUAAAAGUGACAAUAAAAAAACUCAUAAAUAAAAAAAGUAUACUUAGUAAAAGAUUUAAGAUUGAUUAAUUUAAAAAAAAAAAAUUGAAACAAAGACCAAGUCAUGUCAUUCAUUGAGAUCCGACAUAGUUUGUCCAAGUUCUGUCAAAUAAUAAAAUUAUUAUCAACUCAACAACUCGUACGAAAACAAUUGAAAUAAUUGUCCAUGUUGGACUCAUUUUAAAGUCUUUGCCUAGCAUGAGGUCCAAAUUUGUCUAUGGAUCAACUCAAUAACUCUCUGAGUACAAAAACAAUCAAAAUAAUUGCCCGACCCAUUUUAAAGUCUUUGCCCAACAUCAAAUCAACUCGAAAAAUGUGUAAUCAUGUUCCUAUAUUUGCUUCCAAAAAAUGUCAAGGAAAGAAAAAAAAAAUUGCUAUCAAAUAAUUUUCUCAUAUUUUAUUAUACAACUAAAAAUAAUUUAUCAACACUCAACAGUGAACUUAGUCGUGCACCCAACUUUUUUUCUUUGUUUUUUUUAAAAAAAGAAGAAAGUUUUAGGAGAAUAGAAGGAAAUGAAUGAAAAAUAUAAAAUAAGGUUAAGGUUUUCAUAGGAUGAGAGGCACUCAAAGGUUGACGAACAAAGUAUUUUUGUCAUUUCAUAUCUAAGAUUUAUGUGAAAAAAAGAAAGAAGAUGAGGGUAGGAAGAUUUAGGUCCAAUUUUGAUGCUUGUUUUUUAAAAUAGUUUUGAAAAACGGUUUUUGAUAAUAGUUUUUUAAAAUUGUUUUAUAAUGUUUUAUAGAACACUUAUUUGGGAAUGUAAAAUGUUUGAACAUAUUUUCUACAUUUUAAAAAUAAAUUUUGUAUGUACUAUUUUAGUUUUAAUUAUUUUUCAUAUUUAUAUAAUUAUUUUUUAAGACAACUCAAGAAAAUAAGGGAAAACAAUUGAAAGUAAAUAAAUAAUGUUAUCUAAAAAACAUCAUAUUUUUUGUUUUUAAGAAUAAAAUAUUGUUUUCCAUUCUUAAAAAUAGAAAAGAAGUAGAAAAUAUAAUACUAUAUUUUUAGAGAACAUCUUGUAAUUAUUUUUACUUUUUUUUUUAAGUUUAUUUUAAAAGAUAAUUAUAUAAAUAUGUAAAAUGAUUAUCUUUAUCAAAUUUUUUAGAAUUAUUUUUAAAAAACACUUUCCAAAUAAAACCUUAAUAAAUCUCUUUAUCAAAUCCUAAUCCUAACUUCAAUUCUAGUCAUAAUUAUUUUCCUUCUCUUUCCUUUCCUUUCCUUUCCUUUCCUUUCCUUCUCUUCUUAUACAUAAAUAUUUAAACUAAGACAUUACAUCAAUUUAUCAAAUCCAUCUUAAGGAUCAUGUCAACAACUUUUAAACCACUUGGUGGAUCCACUCAUCCAUCAUUGAUGAUGGAUUGAUCCAAGGAAAAAUAACAAUAUCUUCUAUAUGUAACUUAAGUCAUCUCACCAUAGCUAUCAAAGAAAAAAAAAAACAAAAAACAAAAUUUAAUGCACAAAAAUGGGAUGAGGGCGUAUAAGAAACUAAUGAAUGGUUAUACAUGAAUAGAUUGAAGAUAACACAACUACCAUCACAAAUGAUAGAUGAAAAACAAGCAUUACAACAAUAAUGAGCUUGUCCUUUUGCAACUAUUCUUGUUGGGAAAUAUACCACACAUGGGGCCAUGAAUUAAAUUAUUGUACAAAAUGUCUCAUAAUAAAAAUGUUACUUGCCUUACUAUUUAUAUAUUUUUUAAUUAAUUAAGUUGUAUAAAUAUUAAGUGUCUAUUUGGAUAGAUUUUUUAUUUUCUAUUUUUAAAAAUAAAAAAUAACAAUAACUUCAAUAUAAAAUAUAAGAAGUCUUAAGAGUUUUAUAUAAAAAAAAUGAAAUGUUUUUUUUUUUUUAAAAAAAAUGGAUCAAAUAUUUGAGAUAUUAAAAAAGUUUUAUCACCUCAAAUUUAAUUUUUUAUUUUUUAUUUUUAAAAAAUGGGAGCAUAAGACAAGUCUAAACCUUUUUGUAUAAAAAUUUCUAUUUUUAUAUAAAAGUUUCUAAUUUUAAAAAGGGAAAAUAAAAAAUAUAUCUAAAUGAAGCAUAAAUGCUUAAAUAAAAUUUAUUAAAUAAUAACAUUUUACUUAAACAAGUAGCAUUUGUAUGUAGCCUACUGUUGUAGUUGACCUAAUCAUGCACCCGAAAUUUUUUCCUUUUCUUCUUUGUUUUCAAAAGAAGGAUUUGGUAGGAUGAGAUCUGGGAGGUUGAAGAACAAAAUAUUUUUGUCAUUUCAUACUUAAGAUUUAUAUGGGAAAAAGAAAGAAAUUAUGUUUUGUUUAACACAUUUUAGGUUCCCAAACAGUUUUUAACUUAUUUUCUAUAUUUUUAAAAAAAAUUAUAUGUGCUAUUUUUGUUUUAAUCAUUUUUCAUAUUUAUAUACUUAUUUUUUAAAACAACUCAAGAAGUAAAAACAACUGAAAACAACUAAAAUAUUUUUUAAAAAACAUCAUAUUUUCAAUUUUUAAAAAUAAAAAAAUUGUUUUCUAUUCUUAAAAACAUAAAACAAUUUAAAAAAAGAAAAUAUAGUAUUUUCAAAUAAUACAUUUUAGUUAUUUUAAUUUGUUUUCACUUUUUGUAUGGAUAAAAUGUUAUUUUAAAGUCAUAUUUAAAAAUAUAAAAAAUAAGUUAAAAACAUUUCAAGUUAUCAAAUAGACUUUGUUUUAUAAAACAGAUAAAUUAGUUUUCAAAAAUUGUUUUUCAGAAAUGUUUUUAAAAACACUUAUCAAACAAAACCUUAACAAUUUUCUUUAUCAAAUCUUAGUCCUCACUCUAAUCCUAAUCAUAAGAAUUUCCCAUCUCUUUCGUCUCCUUCCCUUCUAUUCUCUUAUUACAUAUAAGUAUCUAAAUUAAGACAUUAAAUCAAUUUAUCAAACCCAUCUUAAGGAUUGUGUCAAAACUUUUAUAUCACUUGAUGGAUCCGCUCAUCCAUCAUUCAUUAUCGAUUAAUCAACAUAAAGAUAACAAUAUCUUAUAUAUAUGUAAUUUAAAUCAUCUCACCCUAGAUUUGUAGAUGUGAAAUAGAUAUUAGAAAAAAACAAAAUUUAAUGCACAAAAAUUGGGAUGAGGGGGUAAAAGAAACUCAACAAUGUUUACUAUUGGUGCAUGAAUAGAUUGCAGAGGACACAAUUAUCAUUGUUUAAUUAACAACUAUUCUAAUUGGAGAAUGUACCAUACAUGGGUCCAUGAAUAUACAUUUAAAUGGACUCAUUAUGGACAGAAUGAGACCAACGAAUACACAUUCAAAUGGACUGAGACCAACAAGGAAAAUUAUCACCAUUCAAAUGGAUAGUGAUGAUCCAGACAGAAUGCAAAUCAGAUUUGGAGGCUUAGAUUUCAGUGUUUUUCGACGAGUUGGUUCACAAUGCAUAUCAUGUUCUUUAACCUGUAUGUGGAGAGAUACAUAGGCCUAUAGGUAAACAACCACAAAGAGCCCUUUUGGACUUACACAAUAAAUUAAAGAAACAAAUAUGCAAAUUAAGGAAACAAACAUGCGGUAAGGAUACCAUAAAAAUAAGAGAAAUAUUUGAAGGAAUAAUUUAUGUUUUGACUUUCUAUUAAAAUGAUUUAUAGAAGUCUUUGUUAAAGAAAAUACAAGACAUGAUAAUAGGAACUAAAUAACUACUCCAACUAACCUACAACCAAGCUUUCUUGAUUUACAAGAGUUGAUUUUAUAUUUGCAGAUAAAACUGCUAACAAAUCUCUAAGAAUUCAACAAUAUCUCCUGUAAAUCUUCUAUUUGAAUCCCUAGAUAGGACUGAGCAACAAGCAACAUGGUUGUUGUCCAUGGGUGGUCAAAUUUAUCAGUAACCCAAGACUUCCAUGCUCUCAAAAGCUCCAUUUUAAUCAAAGGUUGCUGAGAAAAUUACUAACAGGCUAGCAGAAGACCACUUAUCACCAGAUCUAGAAUUAGCAUCAAACAAUAACACAACCCAGGAAAACAAAAACAUUAUUUACAUGCUUCACUAAUGAUAUGCAUUGAUAACCAUAACUUCUGGGGAUAUGAUGCUGCUCAACAAGACAAUGCAUUUGUGAAGCUCAGACGAAUCGCAAAAAUCAUAGAGGAAAAUCUCUUGAGCAUUACCACAUAUAAGGUACAAGAAAGAAAAAGUCGAUGUAUGUGAUCUAUAGCUUGGGACUGAGAUGGAUCAGUGUUGAAUAUUUUCCUAAAAUAAGCAGACUAAUUACAUUAAGAAAUAUUGAUUGAUAUAGAACUUUAACCUCAACAUUCAGAAUUAAUUAGGAAGAAGUUGAAAAUACAGAAAACCUGAGGGAAGGAGCUAAGACACGGAUGGAGGGAUUGGCUUCACAGCAUUUUGGAUCCGCUGGAAUGCCACUCUCACUCUUUCCUUGAGGCCUUCAUUUUCGCUCUCAACAUUCCCACUCUGUUUAUCAAGAUGCACCACAUUUCCAUCAACGCUUAUCACCAGGUUCCCAUUCCCUUCCAACUUCACAUCUCCAAACAGAGAAACAAGAAGUGCGUGGAUAACCUUUUCUGCUUUCUUCCCAUUUUCUUCUUCAGUUUUUAUGGCCUCUGAUUCAACUAUUACCUUGGGGAUCUCAAGACUGAUAUUUAAAACUAGAGCCACAAUGGAGUCAGAGACCAUGUCACUAAUAGGAUCUGAUGUCCAAUGCAGUGAAAUAUGCUUCUCUGAGUCAUGCUUCACUGUCACCCGUUCAUGGACUCGAAAAGCUGGAACCUCAGAUUCUUCAUCUGGCAAUGACUCAACACUCUCAUAUAUCUGCUUCAGCCUGUGCUUUAUUACACCAAAGGCACCAGUGUAAGGAAUAGUAAUCCUCUGGGUGACAUUUGCCGUGGAUAGCUGCCAGAAGACAUGGAGAUCGUCAGGUGCCAUUAUCUGAUAAGUGAACCCUUUCUUUACCAGUAAACCACUGACAGUUUCACCAACUUCUGGGGUCUUUUCAGCCAGCCUCCCAAUGGUUUUUGCCAUUUUUUCAGAGUUGAAAUACAUUUCAACUGACUGACAGUUCUUUGGGGAAAUAAUUUUGGUGUUGCAGUCAGCAAACUGGGUGAUAAGCUUCUGUUUGAGCCUCCCCAUCUCAUUAGCUUCUCCAUGAACAAGAAUGAUGUUAGGUGGCAUGAGCUCCUUCAAGAAUGUACUUGUCUGUGCAAAAUCUGCAUGGGCAGAGAAAGAAAUGUAAUGGACCUGCAUGUUGAGGGGAGCAGUAAGACCAUUCAUUAAAGUAACUUCCUUGGGUUCAUUAAUGAUGGUUUUUGCCAAUGUCCCUCCCACGACAUACCCAGGUAUAACACAUGCAUUUUUCUUAUCAGAGCACCACAUAUCAAACAGUUGUCUUGACAACCCACUCUGAAGCCCACCCGGGCUCGCCAUCACCACUGAUGGACCUACAUCAUUAAAAUUCUCAAUGCUCUUUAAGGGUGAUAUGUGCUUGAAGUCAAAGGGAUUCGAAUUUGCAAAUUGGUUGCGGAUCCUCUCAUUCAUGGAAUUGAUAUAUGUCUGGUAAACAGCCAUGCACCUUUUUGCAAGGGGGGAAGCAUAAUAUAUGGGGACGUUAUGGAGCUCAGGAUGGUUAGACCAAUACUCAUCAAGGAUAAGAAGGAGUUCUUGGGCACGACCUAGAGCAUAUGCAGGGAUUAGAACACGGCCCCCUUGAGAAAUGGUUGAGUGGAUGACAUCUGUGAAGCGCUUUUCUCGCACAUGCCGAGGCUGAUGGAGUUGGACACCAUAAGUGGAUUCAAUUAUACAAAUAUCAGGGCAGAACUGUGGGAUCUCAGCAGCACGGAGAUGACGAUCUUCUUCGCGAGAAUAGUCUCCAGUGUAAAGUACUCGGACACCAGCAAUAUCAACCAUAAACAUGGCAGCACCAAGGACGUGGCCAGCUGUGUAACACCAAAAUCGUAUACCAUUUACUUCUAAAGUCUGAUGGAAAUCAAUAACCUGCAGAAGGGAGAUUUAAUUACAGUUACAGGAAGAUUAAAUGAGAUAAUAAAAUUAAGCUACAUAUCUAAAGUCAAUUGUUGUAAAUGGCCCAACAUUCUGCAAUUGAUCAGGAUUAUAUGCAACCAAUAUUUUGGCAUAUGAGAUACACACACACACACCAUAUUGCUUUUUUUAGUGAACAAGUUUUAUAUUUUAUUAGAUUAGUUAUGUAACAAUUUUGAAACUAAAUUCAGAACAAUAGAAAAAUUGUUGUUGUGGAACACAAAACAUGAAUUAAUAUUAGAAGUAUAGCCAUUUAAAUCUUAAUAGACUAAUUCCUACUAUGUUAGUUUUAUUUGUCCAGAACUGAAGACAAAACCCAUCUGUUCUCAUGGAAGGUGAAGUACAGAAAGCCCACAUAUGUUAUAGAGAUCUAAAACAGUAGUACUUACACUCAGGUAGAAUCUAUUUUUCAGGUAUGAAUGUCUAUGGUAGAAAGAUUAAGGCUUUAGGACAAGGUAGUAGACAUUUGUGACACUAUUAAUUUCAAAUAAGAGUCCCAAGAUAGAACAUUAGAGCUAAUUGCAAAUUUAAAUAACCAGAUUUAAGCUAAUCUGUGAUACAUGGACCAUUGUGACCAUAACUUUUGUGUUUUUUUUUUUUUGAUAGUUAUUGUAACCAUAACCUUUUUUUUUCCUGAUAGACAUUGUGACCAUAACUUUUCAGGCCUUUGAAAAAGGAAGUGCAAGAGAAGGAUUUCUCAUCCUUCCCUACUUUACAAAACCUGAUUUAAAAAUGGAAGUGCAACUGUGCAAGGGAAGGAUGAGAAAUCCUUCCUUACUUUACAAAACCUGAUCAAAACAGAGGAAAAGAAAUACUCUCCAAUAAACAUCAAAACAACUCGACAUUGCAAUUUUAACACUUCGGAUCUACAAGUUGACAUCCAAUCAAGUUGAGUUAUGUUGAGAAAUUCAUGCCUUAAAACAGAUAGUUACAUUAAAGGCACAACCAUAAUCUUACAUUACAUGCAUCCAAUUAUCAUAAAUUCACAACAUAAAAAAAAAAAAAAAAAAUACGUUUUGAAAAAUAGAAUCAAAGGCUUCAUUUUUUAUUUUUUAUUUUUUGAUAGGUAAAUUUUGUUCCCAUUGGGACUUGAACUUGGAACCUCCCGCAAACCCUCCCCAUCCCUUUACCACCUGACCCAGGCCUGAAGGGCACCAAAGGCUUAGGCUUCAUUCAACAUGACAUAUAAUAAUACCUAACAAACCUUCUCAGUCAGGGUAUUAGACAACUGAUUAGGAACUAUAGAAUCAUCAUGCUCUUUUUAACUAAGAACACUUUCCAGGUAAGAUAUUAUACGAGUUCUAAGAAAGCAACAAGUUCACAAAAAAUUAUAAAUAAAAACAAUACUAACAUUGUCAAGGCAUAAAAUAGAGCAACAAACAGCAUUAGGAUAGUUGAUGAAAGACAAAAAUAAUCCACAUAAAAGAGUAAAACAAGUAGCAUUGGAUUUCUUUCAUUUUAUUUUUUAUUUUAUAUAUUUUUGGUUUGGGGGCGGGGGUGGGGGGGGGGAGGGGGGGUGGGGGGGGGGGGGGAAGGGAAUGGCCAAAAAGCCAAAAAAAAAAAAUAUUUUUUUUAAAAAAAUAUUUUAAAAAAAAAAAACCCCCCAAAAAUUACAUUUGGGGCAUUUUUGGGGGGAAAAAUGAAAAAAANNNNNNNNNNNNNNNNNNNNNNNNNNNNNNNNNNNNNNNNNNNNNNNNNNNNNNNNNNNNNNNNNNNNNNNNNNNNNNNNNNNNNNNNNNNNNNNNNNNNGGGGAUGGCGAGAUAGGCAAAUAAGAAUAUAUAUGUAUAUAAUAAAUAUAUGUAAGAAAAGAAAAGCCCCGUAUAAGUAGCAUUGGAGCAUUUGAUGGUGAGAAAUAUGAAAAGAUUUCCAUGACUAGGAGUAAUUUCUAGUCGAUACUUGUUGUUUAGCUCAGUGCCUUUGGUGGAAGAAAACACAUAGGAUCUUUGAGGGUAAAGAGGUUUUUGAAGUUGAGGAAAAAGAAGAAGAAAAAUAGAAAGUUCUGGUCAUUGUUCCAAAUCCAAGUUUCCAUGGAAUACAGUAGAUGGAAGAACAUUAUUAUAUUCCUCUGGAUGAUAAGAAAUAUUAAAUACAAUAAAACUUAAAAGAUAACAUUUACAAAAAUUUUCAAAACAAAAAAUAAAAAGAUGAAAAAAGCCAAAUCAAAGUCACUCACCACCAACCAGGGAAAGGGAUGCAUUUAGAUUAGCUUCAAAACCAGUUUGGACGUGAGGAGAAAUAUUACAAGCCUUAAAAAAAUGGAGAUUGAAACAUACAUCUAUAAACAAAAAUAAACGCACCUCAAUUUUAUCCAUGGAGCGAAGAAUGUCUUGUUCAUCAUACAACAUAUCUUCAACUGAAACUUUGCUCACUUUUACAUAAUCAGACAAAAGCAACUUGUAGAUAGCCUUCGUUGCAUGAGUCAUAAAAACUCGCCCUUUGAAUGUGGUCUAAUGAACAAAUUCAAAUAUUUUAGCUUAUUUAAAAACAUAUGCAAAGUAAUUGCAUAAAAUUUGACUAAGAAAAUUGCCAACCUUCUCCAGGAAAUAUGGAAGGGAUGCAGCAUGAUCCAAGUGAAAGCUGCACAGGAAAUGCAACACAUUACAAUGCAAGAAAGUGGAAAGCACAUCUAAAAGAACAGGGGAAGUUUCAGAUGAGAAAGUAGAGUAGAUAGACAAAAAGAAAAACUAAAGAUGAAAGUUCCACCAAAAAGUUUCAAGAUCUACAAAAGUUCAUUGACAAGACAGACGUGCAAGAUAUCAAAUGAAAUGAUUGUUAAGAAAAUAUGCUGGUACAUGACACAACUAAGAGCACUGCUCAGAGAUAAGUAUGUGAUUACCAUAAAUCCAUUUACUGGGAAGAAACAAUGCUGAGAAAAGCAAUGGGAACUUCAACAUAAUCAAAGAAGGUGAAUGAUUGGGGUUUUUCUGAAGGAAUUUUAGCUGAUAGAUUCAAUUAUUUGUAACCUCACGCGCUCUUACAUAUGAAAGUACAUGUUCAAGUUUGUGUAUGGACACUUUAUGCAGAGAUGCAAAUGGGUAGGUCCAUUAACCCUUUCAUCCCUCCAGAACCCCAGAAAAGGAACCUGUAAGGCCAUUGUAUAGAGUGAUCCCUCUAAUACAGCUACAGAGAAUACUCUCAAAACCAUGCUUAUAGUAGUAGAUCACUAACUAUUGAUGUGCUUUCAACCAUUUCAAGAGCGUUCAUCAGCCAUGCAGUCAGAAUUUCAACUGGAGUAAAGUUGGGCUCAAGAAAGUCUACUCAAAGCCGAAAAAAUCUCAAGGCCAGACAAGAGCCCAGGGAUUUCAAUUUUAGGAAGCUAUUUCAUACGAGGAAAGGAAUCUCCAAGAGUUUAUUCCUUGAGAAAAAAGAAAUAUUAGCGAAUGGAAUGAAGAAGCCAUUGAGAAGCAGGAGAUAUUCAGAUAAUGGCUUAAAGUUUGGGUGGUAGAUGUAGUCUCAUUACUUUAAAGAUAUAUCUGCAGUGCUCCUAAUAGCACCAGAUAUUGAUAAGAGAAGGUACGGAUGGAGUACUUGCAGCUGGUCCUAGUCAAAUCUUUAUAUGCUUUAACAAUAGUUGUUUGGUCACUUUUUCUAAGUAAGGCCAUUCAGGACAGAAUUCAUUAAAUGAUUUUUUUUUUUUUUUUUUGGCAGAAAUAUGACCAUACCCAGGUAUAUAGUCCAAUAUAAAAGAACAAUCAUGAUAUUCUCUAAAUUUCAUUUCUCAAUUCAGCAGAUCACUAAGUUAUAAAAACAAAUAACAUUACAAUAUUCAACAAGGAAAAAGAAUAUACUGUGUCACCAAAAGGACAUCAAUGGUUGAAGGAUCAAUCUCAUCAAAGUAUGGCAAAGCAGCCAUGCCUGAGUAUGCGGGAUGAAUUCCACAGUCAAACUAUCAUCACAGAACAGGAACAAAAUAGAAACAAACAAAUUAUAAAAAAUAUCGAAAACAAAGUAUAAAAACUAGCAACCAAAAUAAACGAAUAAUGCAUUAUGGUAUACCAAUAUGGUUUUCCCUUUAUAGGACAUGUAGACACAGGAACGGCCCACUUCAUUUCCAGCACCUAGAGGGGUAAUAAUCAGCUGGUCUCCUCUUGUUAAUGAGGAAUCUGGUCUCUUCAAAGACUGUGAUGGCCCUGUAGAUGCCAUUCUUCAACUGAACAAUGCUCAGACCCCUUCAAUUAACACCACUCUAUAUUCAUGCAAAAUGCUCUGCAACUGAUUAAAAAAUACAAAAAAAAAAAAGAUUCAAAAAAAAAAAAAAAAAAAAACGCUUCAUCAUAAAUAAAAUGAUACCCAAAAAUAAAUACAAUUCCAGCAAAAGACAUUUUUUCUCUUGGCAACUCCAGUUAUUUUGGUGAAUAUAUUUCUGUUAAGCUUGGGAAAAAUAAAUUUUGACUUUCAGUAAAAUAACUCUGUACAGUUGAAAUUUAUAUUUCCCUGAGAACAUCUUCACUAGAAAUAACCUAUCUCCCCAAUUGAAGCUCAAAAUUUAAAAUCCAGUACGAGAAAGCACUGUUUGUUUGCUGAGAAAUUGCAGAACCAAAAAUUUAAAUCUUACAGCUCUCAGCGCUCAUCCCCCUAGAAAGCAACAUAAAAGCGCAAGAUUCAAUUGCUUCAUUUCCCUCUCUCUCCUCACUUUUCUCAGCAACCAAACACAACAACCUUAUAUAAAUAAGGAGAGAGAGUGAAGUAGAAGAAAGAAGAAACUCAAAACUUAUAAAAAAAAAAGCAUAGUAUGAAGGCAAUUAUAAGAGAUUCAAAAUUUUCAACUCACUUGGUUGCAUUUCCCACGAGUUUCUCGGGAACCAAACAGAGGGGAGGAAGAAAAAACAUAAACUUCAGAACAAAGAAAGAAGAAAUGCAUAGAAAAUAGCAGAGGGAGAAAGUUUCGAGAGAGUUAGAGAGGUUACAGUUAUGAAAUGAUUUCAGACCAUGCAAAGGAAGAGAGUGAACUAAAACCCCAAUUUUGAGAAGAUGCUUCCCUCUUUGCCUCACCCUCUGAAAGAUUGAUAAAUACCGGGCUGGAAUGGUCGGUCCGGAUGUGAGCCGGGUUUGAUCUGAUGUGUGCCUCCGGUUUAAGCCAUUUCGUUAUUCUUUUACUUUAUUUUUUUCCACAAAAUUUUAAUUUCAAAGCCAAUAUUAACAUUUUAAUAAAAUAUAGCCUUAAAAAAUAUGAGAAUUAUUUAUUAGAUAUCUUUCAAGAAAAAAAGAAUUGAAGGCCUCAUAGCAAAUAUUUUACUAAAAAAAUUUUUGAAAAAGAAAAAUAAUUAUCUAACCUUAAUAUCUUAAAAGAUAAAGAGACUUCAAGUAUAUGAUAAUUUCGAGACGUGAGUCAAUAAAAAUAGAAAUUAUAAAAAGUGAAUUGAUAAAAAUAGAAAUUAUAUUAUGAAUAAUUUUUGUUUGGUAUAUAUACAUAUAAUGUAUAUGUUCGUGGGUUGUUAAGGAUUUUUAAAAAUAUUAUUAUUUUAUGUAUUUAUUGAAGUUAUUAAUUUAGUAUAUUGGUCCAAGUUGAGACCAGAAUAUUUUAUUAUUCAAGCAAUUUAUAAACAUUCAUUUAUCAAUGUUUUGUUUUAACUUAAUGUAACAUCAAAAUUUUUAGGUUAUGUUUGGUUUUCGGAAAAUAGUUUUUUCAUAUUUAGUUUUACUAUAAAAACUAGUGAAAAAAAAUAAAAUAUAAUUAAAAUUAAUUAGAAUAUUGUACAUUUUAAAAUUAUUUAAUUUUUAUAUAAUGGAAGAAAAUAAAUUAAAUGAGUUUAGAGAAGCAUAUAAAAUAAUUUAUUAACUUGGACUCUAUUUUUUUAUUUUCCUUUACUUUUUCCUUCUUCUCACUUUUUCAUUUUAUUUUAUUUUCAUCACAUUUUCCCUCAAAUUUUUUGAGAACCAAACAUAACUUUAAACUUUUGCAUCAAAUUGACAACUUAUCAAAUUCGCACUAUCCUUUCUCAAACAUGAAAGAGAAUGACAGUGAAAAGUUUCUAAAACUUCCAUUGCCCAAAUAGGUCUUUGUCAUACAUCACUCGAACCCAACACAAUAUUCAGAGCUCCCAAGAAGAGAACAAGUCUCCCUACCAAGUGAUGUUACUAGUUCCAGUACUUGCGCUGUUUGGAUGUCUUGUCCAGCCUUAGAAUCAAUGCCAUUACCCAACAAGAAGAAAACUUAGUUUUCAGCAUGCUUGAAGAAAAUUUAUUCAGCAACUAUAACUUAUCCUCUAGCUUCAGCUUCUUCUAGCUCACCGAGCUUUCAGGUAAGAGAGUAUUUUGUGUAGCAAUCAAAACAGCCCCAGCAUCUUUAUUCUCAGAUUUUCCACCAGUUUGAUCUGAAGCUUAAUCCCAGAUUGGAAGGUAGAGCUUUUCUCUUCUUUCUGCAAUUGAAGGUGCAGAUUCUGCAAGUUCUGGGGAAACAUCUCAGCUUGAGCGAAUUGUAGACGUUCAUUCUGUGCAUGGAUUUGGAGUUGCUCCAAUUCUUCCUACUUCUUGGCAAGCUUGACAGUCUUCAAGGAGUUCUUGAAAAAGAAUCUGAAGUACAUCUAUGAACAAUCACAUAUGCAUUUGGGCAAUCUAUAGGUUCUCCAUCUGCUCUCAUCGCUGAACUACCACAUUCCUUCAGAUAAAUGGACCUGCCACCUCUGGUUUAUUAAAGACUAAAACAAUUUCCGUUGAACAGGUCUUUGCAUAAACCUUCUUUGGGGCAGGAGACUGAUGUGGAGUAUACUUAAGUCGUUUUCAGAUUAGUAUUUGAAUUGACCUUCUGAGGGGUGCCAAGUGCAAUUCACCAAAAUCCCAAACUGGAAUUAGUCCAUCUCCCAUUUCCUUUGAAAUACUCAACAAUUUAGUUUCUUUUUCUAUCAAGUUUGCCUUCAACUUUUCAAUAUCAGCCUACAUUUUCUCUAGUUUCGUCUGUGGUUCAGCUUGUAUUGGACUGGGUCUAGAUUUUGCGUGUUCUACAUGCUCAUAAGUGCUUCCAAACUACACCAUGUCCUGAACAUAUUCUUUCUGAUACCUGACCUUGGCAUCAAGAGCAGAUUUUAAAUGUCUCAUCUUUAAGACCAGAUUACUACUUAUGAAGUNNNNNNNNNNNNNNNNNNNNNNNNNNNNNNNNNNNNNNNNNNNNNNNNNNNNNNNNNNNNNNNNNAAGAUAGACUGGCUCUCUACAUCAGCUCACAUUGAUUUGUUUGGAGUUGCCCAAUUUCUUUGGCAAAUCUUCAUUUUCGUGUCUCGAAUUGUGGUUCAGUUUCCUUACUUCUUCUACCGCUGGACAUUCCAAAACAAAACUUGCAAAAGCUUGAAUGGCUUCUAAACUUUCUGCCAAUUCAGAAUUUUCCAACUGCAGGUUCACAUUAGAGUUCUUUUAACUCCUCUGCUUCAGCAGCCUCAAAGCAUUCCUUUUUAGCAGCUUCACGCUCUUCUGUUGCAAAUCCUCUUUGAUCACUCUCAAUAAUUACCAAUAAUUUUUGCUUGGGUUGAAGAACAAACCUUCUUGGUGUAUACCUUAAAGGAAUCGCAGUUUCAUUAAAUGUUUCACCCAGUCAUUCAAUAGUGAAGACCCUCAGCGCAUCCCCAGCAGCAGCAACCACACCUUCAGCACACUGAUCAGAUGAAAAUGAUGCAGCAAAUUCAAGUGUCUCAUAAGAAAGCGGUGUCAACAGAAAAUGCCCUCAGUGAAUAUAGCCAAGCCGAGGGUGGCUUGACAAGCAUAGCAUUGCACGUUGGCCUCUCACAAUGACAGAGAAUAUCUUUGGGGCUCUUAGUCCUAAGGAUCGGGAAUGAGCAUCAGAGAGCUGACCUGUCGCCAUAUCUACCACCAGUCUGAACAAAACUCCAUUCUGCGAACCAACAUUAAGAAAAAGACUAGCAGGGCGAUCAGCACCAACCUUAUCACCUACUGAUGCCUGAACUUCGAGAGAGAGAUUCUGGAGGAAAAGAAACACUUUGCAUACUCAAAAUCUGCAUACAGUCAUCAGGAUCCAAAGACGAGAUACGAAUAGUGUUGUCACAUUAUCCGACUGCGAGAAAAUGAGAUCUGUCUUCCUUCAGGAACCGGGGCAAUGUUAGAACAAGCCACAUCCCCAGACAUUUCAUGCUUCUCAACCUCCAUCAACUGACCAGUCAUAUCCACCUCGAAAUAUAUAAGCUCUCCUUCACUCAGUGCAAUAACCACUUGAAGCCUAUUGGGACCAACUUUGAUGGUUGUCCUCUUUCCAGGAGUUCUCCACUCGUUAAUGCGCCUGCCUUCUCUUACAUAACGGAAACCACUAGGGUGAACUCGCGGCAAGGAAUCAUCAUCACCUAUCGAAGAAACAGCAAGGGAUGCUGUAGCAUCAAGAAAACCACUAUCGCUUCUUCAACCGUGUCACCAAUUGAAAGCACAAGAGUAGCAUUUGCAAUUGAAACAACACUAUAUGCAUCAGACUCAUCAUCGACAUUCUUGCUAUCGCUUCUAAAUUUAGGAUCCGGAGGAAAGGAGCCCGAAUCAAUGCUAAAUUCAGUCAAAGCUUUCUUCUAGCAAUCUCUAAAAGAGGAGCAGAAGGCGUGCACCAGUAGAACAAAGUAAAUGCUGAGUAAAGCCCCUUGAAGGCCAUGGUACUGUGUAAAUCAAUAGGCAUUCCAAGGCAAAAUUAGGCCAUGGCAGUAGCUUGAGUACAGUUUUAGUCUCUGAUUUCUCCACAGAUGAUCAGCAAGUUUCGGAAUUUUUAAUAUUCUCUAAGCCAGAACAGAUACAUAAAAGAUGAAGGUUGGACGAACUACUCAUUACUGAUAUCAACUGCACCUGAAUUUAUUGAUGGCCAUCAUUUUUUUGUCUUCAGAAUCCAUUUUCAUUGCAGCAGUCCCAUUAAAUUUUUCUGAUGACUCCCACAUUGUCAUCCCCUAUUGAAGCAAUUCUAUCAACAAUUUCAGUAAUUAUGUCAACACCAGUAUUCCUUAAUGAAAAUACAACAAAAACUUUUCCACAACAUUGGCCAAGGGAGCAAAAGUCUCAUUCAUUAUUCAUAAGGAAUGUCAUGCUGAAGCUUCUUCCACUUCCUUAAGCUUUUGAAGCAAAUGGCACUGAGACCAUUGGGAACAUAUGCGAGGGCCUUUGAAGAAGGAAGUAUUCCAGCCACUACUGAAGAUAGAAGGCAUCAGGAAGGCCCCAAUUCAUGCAAAGCAGAAAAACAAGAAAGGCCAUUAAGGCCAAUUUUGGUCAUGACAAUCAUAGCAUGAGAGUUUUAGGAUCCCGUAGAGUCUGCAGAAAUGUAAGUAGUAGACCCAAGCGCCUUUAACAAAACCCACAAUCCUGUACUCUUCUGUAUGCAGUCUCUUUGCCAAAAGCUCUGCACCUCCCAGAUUCUUUAAACAGGAAAACUGCUGCACUGCUGUUGUCCAUGAGCUGCUCAUCAUGGGCACCAUUAGAUUGAACAAUGAAUGCGAAAGCAAGAAGGCGAAUCUUGUUGCACAAUCUGUAAGUUCUGAGAGGAAGGCACGAGCAUAUCUGAUUCUGGUCAGGCGCAAGUUUGUGCUCUUCGCAGUCCUCUUGGGCAUUAAACCAUGUCUUGACCACUGCCUAGCAUGUAGGUUCCCAGUUUACUGUUGCCUUUAGGGAUCACAAGGUCCAUAUUUAUCUCAAGUCUUGGCAAAUCAGUUCUCUUUCUCGUCAACCUACUGGAAUAUCUCAGAGCCAAUCAUCCAGUAACCGAGCUUUAGCCCAUUAACACUCAACCUUACAAAACUAGACAAGCUGCGAUGGGAUUCAUGGAGAUAAGGAAAUAGAACCGCCGGAAGUACACUGAACAUGCUGCGGCUUGCUGCAACGUUACCCCUCAUAUCAAACACCUCUGUCAUCCCCUCAAAACGUGCCCAAAUAUACUAAGACUCGAACAUCGUACAAGAAAGGAAACAUGGAACAUAGGCAGAAAAUAUCAAUCAACAUAGACAGCCCCGUUUUACGUGUCAAUAAUCUAGGGCUGGACAGGGGGACAAUACAGAAUAGGAUUUAAACAUAAACAGAGUAUGAUCAAAUUCAAGUAUGGGGUCACAUAUUUUAGAAGACACCAACGACAUAUAAAAGAAUCAGAAUAAAAAAAGGGCAAACAAGAACACAGAGAGUAACAAGAAGCAUACCUGGACAGUCUUGACUGCAAUCACUCCUUCCCCGCUAUCGUCCACCUCCAAAAUCCGUGAAAACCUUUGUUCCUCUUUCUUCAUUCGAAAACAAUCCCCUUAAAAAAAAAUCCCCUCUGCUCUCCUCUGUUGUUGCUUUAAAAGCCUCUCAUCUUGAAUCUGAAAUUCCCCCCCGGUAGCAAGACAAAAUCUCAACUCUUUCCUUUUUCCAUUGCCUUUGUUCAGAUCUUCCUUUUCAAAACAUGGACUGAAUCUUCAGUUUUUCCAAAACCCACCAAAAUAAUAAUAAUAAUAAUAAAAAACUAGAAAAAAAAAUAUAAAGUAUUAAGUCAAAAUCAAAAUAAAGAUAAAUAAAUAAAUUAAAAAAAAUCAGGAAUCAUAUAAGAAAAGGAAAAGAGAAGAUCAAUCACAUGUAAGUCAUAUAAGUCAUGCAUGCUAUGCAAUAAGGUUAUCUAGGCAAACUAUGCAACCAUGAAGGAAAGUGAGUCAAUGCAUGAACUAAUGGGUCGGGCCUUGUGGUGCCUAAAGUGGGCCUAGGUGGGCCAAAGUAAACCUGAGUGAGCUUAGAAAAGUGCUAUAGUGACCUAGGGUGAACUAAGUGAAAUCUAACUUAAAGUGCACCCAAAGUAAAGUCUAACCUAAACUCGAAGGGUGACUAAGGUCACAAUGAGGAGCCAGAUAAACCCUCAACCAAAGUCUCCAAAGUGGCUUAGAGAAGACAAAUUGCAUAGUAGUAAUUAGUUACAAAUGAACCAUUGUAAAAUACUAAAUGAGCCCUCAAUAGAACAUGUGCUAAGGGGACAAAAUGAAGGAUCUAUACUAAUAGAACAAAAAUUCUAAAAUCUUCAAAUCUCAACUUUUAAACCAACAUAUCAACCAUAGUAUUUUUGUCCAAGCAAUUUCAAACUAAAACAAUAGCUAACAAUAAUUAAAUUCUAAUGUUUAACAAAGUCCCCAAAAAAGAGUUUAAACAAAUAUCCUAAUAAAGCCAAAAUUUUCAUUCUAACCAUCACUUCUCACCCGAACUUAGGGUACCUGAAAAAUUAAUGAGCUCAAAACUCAAUAAGAAACAUUAAUAUAGUUUCAUGGAUCAAAUAUUUUCAUUCAUGCUUCCAAAUAGGAGAUAUAGGGUAUAAUCAUUUUCAUAAAACGUUUGAGUUCAAACAUGCUAAUACAUUUUAAACAGUUCAACCAAACAUUUUCAUAUAUAUCAAAACCAUUUCAUAUCAAAUCCAAAUCAAAUACAUUUCAAUUAUUUUUAUUUUGGUUACCAAAUAAUAAAUGACGCUUAGUUAAGUGAAACUUUACAAAUGGGUGGUUAGCUUCAAAUUUGUUCCUUUUAAGGUGGACAUAAUCAAAAGUAACCUCUAAUCAAAGCCCUCAAGGCUGGGGUUUAAAUCAAUUACAUUUUUUAUCAGGAAAAUGUAAAGGUCAAUUAUUAUAUCCUGUUGACAAGGGCCGAAAAGUCAACUAUUAUACCCCAUUGAUAAGGACCAAACAAAUUAAAGUCAAAUUCUUUGUUUUAUUUAUUCAAACUUACGGAAAACAUAAUACCUCCAUAUAUUCUAUUAUAAACAAAAGAAAUGUUAUAAUAUAUUUUUUAUGCAAAAAUAUAUUUGAUCCAUACAUAAAAGCAAAAAUAACACACACACACACACACACACACACACACACACACACACACACAUAUAUAUAUAUAAUUAUCUCUUCAAAUUGAUAAAUGGUAGUUUUUUUAUUCAUACUUUCAUUCGUUCAUGUACAGAGUAUAUAUAGAGGGUAAUCACCAUUCUAAGAAUGGGAAAGAAUGAUACAAGGAAAUAAUGAUAUAAGGAAAUAACAACUAAUAUCCUAAUAUCUCAACUUUCCUAAUAUCUCAAUAUUCCUAAUAUCUCAACACUAAAUGAUAUAAGGAAAGAAUGAUAUAAGGAAAGCAUUCCUAAUAUCUCAACACUCCCCCUCAAGUUGGUGCAUAGAUGUCACACAUGCCCAACUUGUCUAAAAAUUUUGAGAACACUUGACUUGAGACAACUUUGGUAAGGAUAUCGGCCAAUUGAUCUUCUGAUCGAAUCUUAGGCAAUUCCACAAUCUUAUCAUCCAAAUUUUCCUUAAUGAAAAAUCUAUCCACCUCGACAUGCUUUGUACGAUCAUGUUGUACUGGAUUAUGAGCAAUGUCACAUGCGGCUUUAUUGUCACAAAACAAUUGGAUUGGUUGCCUAGAUAGGUAACCUAAAUCCUGUAAGAGAAGUCUUAACCAUAAUGCCUCACAAAGUUCUAGAGCCAUACCUCUAAAUUUCGCUUCUACACUUGAACGAGCAACGACAUUCUGCUUCUUACUUUUCCAUGUCACAAGAUUACCACCUACAAAGGUAAAGUAACCAGAUGUAGAUCGCCUAUCAUCCACUGCACCGACCCAAUCAGCAUCAGUAUAUACUUCUAUACUCUGAUGAUUAACAUUUUUAGUGAACAAAAUUCCCUUCCCAGGAGCAUUCUUCAAAUACCUCAAAAUACGCAUGACUGCAUUCAUAUGUUGCUCUCCAAGAUUAUGCAUGUAUUGACUCACUACACUCAAUGCAUAAGCAAGAUCUGGUCUUGUAUGAGCUAAGUACAUUAAUCUCCCCACAAGUCUCUUGUAUCUUCCCUUAUCGGUUGAUACUUGAUUAGACUCAACACACAAUUUCAGACCUUCUUCUAUUGGUGUAUUAACAGGUUGACAUCCCGACAUUCCAGUCUCCUGUAAAAGAUCUAAGGCAUACUUUCUUUGAGAUAGAAAAAUUCUUUCACUUGAUCGAGAAACUUUAAUCCCAAGAAAGUAUUUCAGAGGACCUAGAUCUUUCAUUUCGAAUUCUCUAGAUAGAUAAUUUUGUAGAGCUUUUCUUUCUUCAGGAUCAUUUCCUGUAACUACCAUGUCAUCCACAUAUACGAUGAGUGUCGUAAUCUUACCAUGUUGCUUUUUCAGGAACAAAGUGUGAUCUGAAUUACUUUGACGAUAGCCAAAAGCUCUCAUUGACUUUGUGAACCUUCCAAACCAUGCUCUCGGGGAUUGCUUCAACCCAUACAAUGACUUUUUCAAUUUGCACACCUUCUGACAUUGCUUUUCUGGCAUCAUGCAUCCUGGUGGAAGAUCCAUGUAUACUUCUUCAGAUAACUCGUCAUGCAGAAAGACAUUUUUCACAUCGAAUUGUUGUAAUGACCAAUCUAGGUUUGCAGCUAAAGACAGUAAUACUCGAACUGUGUUGAUCUUAGCUACGGUGCAAAUGUCUCUGUGUAGUCAAUUCCAUAAGUUUGAGUGUACCCUUUUGCUACCAGUCUUGCUUUAAAUCGUUCAAUACUACCAUCUGCCUUGUACUUCACAGUAUAGAUCCAACGACACCCAACUGGCUUCUUUCCUGGUGGACAUUCUACGAGUUCCCAUGUUUCAUUCUUCUCCAAUGAUUUCAUCUCUUCAUUCAUGGUUGCUUUCCACCUUGGAUCAACUAAGGCUUCCUGCACACUGUUAGGAAUAACUGCAGUAGAUCAUUGAUUUACAAAUGACUUAUUUGAUUUAAACAAACGAUGGUUAGACACAUAGUUGCUCAUGGGAUAUUUGACUUUGGUAGACAAUUCAGGUUCAUAUGUGGGUUUAGGAAUACCUCUAUUAUGACGAUGUGGUAACCGUUUCAUGAAUGGAUCAGGUUCCAAAUUAAGAACACCCUCAACAGACGACGAUUGGUUUGGUAUUUCAAUGAAGACAUCUUCGGACCCAAAUUGUUGACCACUCAUAUCCAACUCACCCGCUUCCUGAUUCACUAGUUCAAAUUGUCCAGAUUCAUCUUCCUCAGAGAUAUGAUAAUCAUAAUCGAGAGUCUGAAUUUCCUUAUGGUACUCCUCCUGAAGUUCAGACUCAGAUGAAAAAUACAUCGAAUCUUCAUGAAACACCACAUCCAUUGUAAUAUACAUUUGUCAAGUUGGAGGAUGGUAACAUUGAUAUCCAUUUUUGUGCAAUGCAUAUCCAACAAACACACAUUGCAAUGCAUGAGAAGUUAACUUGGUGCGUUGGUGCUUGUGUAGAUGCACAAAUGCCACGCAACCAAAAACACGAGGAGGUAGAUUUGGGACGAUUGGGGCAACUACGGCAUUAGUAAGAGCUUGGAGAGGUGUUUGAAAGUUAAUUGAGCUAGAAGGUACCCGAUUGAUCAAGUAUGCGGCAGAUGUGAUUGCUUCUUCCCAAUAAGAUAUCGGUGUUUUUGCUGCUAUCAAGGAAGCACGAACAACCUCUAACAAGUGCCGAUUUUUUCGUUCAACGACUCCAUUUUGCUGGGGUGUAUUGGAACAAGUAAUCUGAUGAAUGAUGCCAUGUCCUUCCAAAUACUUUUGAAGAUCAGAACUUUGAUAUUCUCCACCAUUAUCACUAUGCAGAACUCGAACCUUUGCAUUGUACUGAGUUUCAAUCAUUUUAUGAAAUUUUUGAAACAACAAGUUCACUUCAUCUUUGGUCUUCAUCAAGCAUAACCAUGUCAUUCUGGUACAAGCAUCAAUAAAAGUAACAAACCAACGUGAGCCACUCAAAGUUGGGACUUUGGAUGGGCCCCAAACAUCAGAAUGUAUAACCAUAAAAGGAAACGAACUUUUAUUCAAAAUUAAUGGAAACGAAGCACGAUGGCUUUUAGCCAAUUCACAAAUAUCACAACGGAAACCAGAAAUAUCACUCUUUGCAAACAAACUAGGAAACCAUUUUUUUAAAUAACCAAAGGAAGCAUAUCCCAGACGUCGAUGCCACAACCAAAUUUCAUACUUUUUCUUCUCCCCCUCAGAUCCAUCUGCCAUCAAGACUUGUUGCAACUUAUUUGAAUCCUUUGACUGCAAGUCCAAGUAAUAGAGUUUUCCCCGCUUAAUACCACAACCAAUCGUUUGUCUUGUUUGGAUGUCUUUAAUCACACAAAAUUCAGGCAAAAAAAUGACAAUACAUGAUAAGGUUGCAGUGAUUUGAGAAACUGACAAAAGAUUGUAAUCUAAAGAUGGAACAACUAAAAUAGAAUCCAAAUUCAAAGUACCAGUAAGAGUUAAGGAUCCUUCCCCAAUGACUGGGGUUGUGUUACUAUUGGCUGUGGAAACAAUUUUUUGUGAGGAAGGUCUAAGGGGUGAAACCUGUCUAGAAUCAAAAGUCAUAUGAUCUGUAGCACCAGAAUCAAUUAUCCAUGCACUAUUAAUAACAGGUGUAAAAGUAUUUAAAAACUUACCACCAUGAUCAAUAGCGACUACCAAUGCAGAGGCUUUCUCAGUAACAUUAGCCUCUGUUUUUAUUUCGGCAACAGUUGCAGUCGAAGUUUUCUUGGAAUCCUUUUUCCGUUGAUCACAAUUAUUAUCAUUAAUAACAAAGUGUUGAUAGCCUAAACAUGAUCUAAAUGUCCAUGGUUCAAACCCUCGGUUCCUCAUUGUUUUCCUGGUCAUACCAAGAGUCGUUACUUUGAAAUUGUGGGAUAUCCAGACUGGUGGGACCAGUCUUAUUGCAGUGAGUGCAUUUGAAGGUUGACUUAUCAAUAUUAGGGCUUGUCUUAGGAUGGUUGAUCGCUGUCGGACUACCAUGGUGACAAAAUAUCCAGGAUUUCAGUUCAAUGGCUCUGAUACCAUCUUCAAAUUGAUAAAUGAUAGUUUUUUCAUUCAUACUUUCAUUCGUUCAUGUACAGAGUAUAUAUAGAGGGUAAUCACCAUUCUAAGAAUGAGAAAUAAUGAUACAAGGAAAUAACAACUAAUAUCCUAAUAUCUCAACUUUCCUAAUAUCUCAAUAUUCCUAAUAUCUCAACACUAAAUGAUAUAAGGAAAUAAUAAUAUAAGGAAAGCAUUCCUAAUAUCUCAACAUUAUCUUCUUUUGCAAAGUUUGUGUUAAUUUCUCUUAGCUCAAAAGAGUCCUCAAAAACCUUGGAGAGAAAUAAUUGUGGAAAAUCUAUUCUUCACUUAACAUAACAUAAUAGAAAUAAAUAUUAUUAUUUAUGUACAAUUUAAUUAAUCUAUUCCGUAUUUAAAUAAAAUUAAUAAAUUCCUAAUUUGAUUCUAAUAACACAUUACUAAUUUAAUUAAAUUGCAAUUUUAUUUCAUUAUAAUUUUUUUUUUACUAAAUCUCUUAUUCUAUUUAUUACUUUAAACCAUUAUUACUAUUAUCUUAUUUAUUAACCUAGACCUAAAUAUUAUUAUUUUAUUAAUUAUCAAAUUCAAUAGCCACCCAAACCAUUACCCACUUGUCUCUGGCACACACAAAACAAAUAAAACAAGGCAAGUUCUUCCGAUUGUCAUCAUCAUCACUAUGAUGAUUCAUUAUUUAUUUAUUUAUUCUUGGUUUUCCAAGGUCAUCCUUCCAUCAAAUGCACACGCCUCUUUUUUAUUCUUUCUUUCUUUCUUAACCCUAACAUGUCUUUUUUUUUUUUUUUACUUCUAGCAAUGUGCACACAAAUACAAUGCCUCAAAACCAUAAAUACAAGUAUCUAUAUAUGACCCCUCCAAAAUCCAGAAAUCAUGUAAUUCUUCUUAUUAUUUAUUUAUUUAUUUUAUUUUCAAUCUAAAGCCUCCACUAAUGACUUAUUUAUUUAUUAUCUAAAUCUAAAAUUUCUUUUCUUCCUCUGGUUUUUUUUUUUCAUUUUAAAUUUAUUUAUUUAUUUUUCUAUUCCAUUGAAAAUUUUGAAAUUUUCCUAUCUUCAUCGAUAAAUCAACCUAUAUUUGAAAAUUUUCAAACAUUUUGAUCUAAAAGUUUAAUAAACAAACCCUAAUUUUGAUUUAGAUUUAAAAAAAAAAUAUCUAAUAUGUUCGAAACUAACUAAUGAAUCUAAAAUAUUAAUCUAGGGGUUAGAAUUUUAUCGGAAAAGUAUGGACUUCAAACCCUAAACCUUCAAACCUUUACCCCUAUGUGCUCCAAUUCUCUGAUUUUGGUUAAUAAGGUUUUUUGAAUAGAGAAGACAAUAACAAAAAUAAAAAAAUCUAAUUCAUACCUAGGACUAUUAAUGGAAAAAAUGACAUUUUUCCCCUAAUGAAUUUAAUUAAUGUUUAAUUUACUAUUUUACCCCUAAAAUUAAUUUGGGGUGUUAUAGUAUCAAUGGAUGAAAAAAAAAAAUCAAAAGGCGUAGGUCAUAAAUUUUAUUUCAAAAUCAUUUAAGAAUUAAUUAAUUAAAACUCAAAUUUUAAGUUUUUUAAUUUUAAAUUCCUCCCUUAUUCAUUAUUGGAUUAAAUUCUUUUAACUAUUUUUCCCUCUUUUAACUUUAUUAUUUUUUUCAUAAUUUUUAUCAUUAGAACAUAAGCUUUCUUGUUUCUCUUAAGAUUUUGUAAAUCAUUUAUGUGAAAUUUUAAAACCAAAUUAGCUAUCAAUAUUUCUUCUACCUUUUUCUCAAUCAAAUGCAUGAUUUAUUGUUGAUACUUAUCUUGGUUCAUCUAUAAGUGAGACCAUAACAAAAUAGACAUGCUUUUUUUUUCCAUUUGGAAGUCCUAAGGAAUCGACAUGUAGCCCAUAACAAGGACUAUCAAAUUAAUCAUUUAUAGUUUACAAUAAAAUAGAAUGCAUAUUAAAGGGGCUCUAGACUCGCAACUGUGAAUAUAUUGUUUGUUCUAGGUCCAACAGGUCCUCAAAAUUUCAAAAUAUGUUUACAAGGUUAAGAGGAGUCCAUACACAUAUAAUAUAUAUGUAAAAUUGCAAGGUUAAACGUUUUUAAAGAAACACUUCAAUUAAAAGCAUUUCCUAUAAAAACACUUUCAAUCGGACAUUAAUUAUCUUUAGUUAAUUAUCAUCAAUUCCUAAAUAUAAAUUUAUUCUCCUUAUCGGGAAUUUAACUAAAAUGCUUUUUUUUAUUAUCAAAUUAAACUAUGCAAGUGUAGGAAGUAGUUUUGUUCAAUAUGCUCAUAUGCUCUUUAGAUCAUGUUCUCCUUGAGUUGCUUGUUUUUUCUUAACAAAAAAAAUACAGUUUGUCACCCAUUUUGAAGGGAGAUAAUAACGAAAAACUCAUAGUUAAAAAAAAAAAAAUGUGAUUUCAACAGUUUUGGGAAUUAUCACUCUCAACAAUCUAUUAAAAAAUUGUAAAGAUUACAUGUUGGAUCUCCCCAGCCCCAAGGACACUUACUGUCACAAGAAUAAAGGUCACAAGAAACCCAUAUCCUAUCUUCCACCCCAAGCCUGCUUCUGCCAGUCAAAGUCCAAUCACAAUAUUCAGAGCUCCCAAGAUGAGAGCAAGUCUCCCUACCAAGUGAUGUUACUAGUUCCAGUACUUGCGCUGUUUGGAUGUCUUGUCCGGCCUUAGAAUCAAUGCCAUUACCUGAGAAGAAGAAAACUUAGUUUCCAGCAUGCUUGAAGAAAUAUAUUUUGUUACUGUCGAGUGAAGGCCCAGGCAGAGUGAAAACAAACCUGAAGAAUGCCAAGGAAAAACACCAAGGAUCCGAGGGGUCUGUGAAUCUUGAAUUUGGGAAUGCGAUAAAACUCCAGUCCAUUGUAGAGUGUCCUUCCUGCGACGACAGUAGCAAGACCCGGAAGAAAACCCACAAUCUGGAUCGAGAUAUGAAGAUAAAACCAUUGAGGAUCAUGAUGCUUGAAGUAUCUAGGGAUGAUUGCCCCAGAUGGAAGGAGCACGUCCCAUGCAAUUAGGCCCAUGUCUCCAUGACGCGUCUCCAAAUCUCCAGAGUUAUUGACACCAGAGUUAUAUCCUGUGAGACACACAACAGAAAUUUUCCAUAUCAGACUUCAAAGAGUUUUAUCUGAAGCUCCCACUUUAUUUCCUAGAUAUAAGCCCCUCGUCUAGAAUGUAAAAUCCUCUGUUCUCUGUUCAAAUUUCAGCUUUGCAAUUGGAGUCAAUACAUCUCGUAUUCAAUUCAAUCCUCAUCUUUUUAUGGCCUCCUAAAUUCUAAGACCUGUCUGGGUUGUCCAGUUUUGUGAAAAAUUACAUCAUGGGAUUUGAUUCAAUGUUAGGUACAAAAUUUUGGAAAAAUCUGCAAAACCCUCAACAGUUGUGACCACAGCUCAAGACCAAGGUGGGAAUUUACAAUCUAAUAAUGCUGAUGAAUGCUUCAUAGACUGCUCUACGAAACUAGCGUUUGUCAGAAUGCCUGUCCUUUGUUGAAAGACAUGAAGAUCCUCACAUUCUCGAGCAGGAAGAACCUUGGCCGAAAGUAGUUGAUUACUACUCAAAAAGUGCUAUUUGAUAGCCUAUAAUUAAUCAUUUUAAACACUUUUGAGUAGUAGUUUAGGCCUUUUAACUCAAUUGGCAUGUUAAGGAUCCUUUAAAGCAAUUUUAAUCACUUUGUGCAAGUUUUGGUGUUUUUGUUAGUAUUUUGAUCACCAAAGCAAGUCAAGACUGAGGAGAGCUAUGAGGAAUCUUGGGCAAAGCUUAGAAGUCAUUUGCCAAGAGUGAAUCCGGAUUGCAAGGAGUAAAAGCAAAGAGAAUCUGCCAUAAAACAUAUUCUUGAUGACAGUCGUAGCAGCCACUUUUGGAGCACUUUAUUAAGUCCAAAUUAUGCAUGCUAUAUACCAUUUCAAAGCUCAGGAAGUCAACAAUCCAAUGCUUUAAACGGUGUGCAAUUCGGAGUUGAAACGAAGAAGUUGCAGCCAUUGCAAGCCAAUCACUCCGAGCUGAAGGAAGCAUUUUGCAAAGUGUUGCGAAAUCACCCUUUUGUUGCGAAGUGAUUUCGCAGCAUUUUUGUACAGUAAGGUGUAUCUCCUUCUGACGAUGCACGAUUUAUGCCGCGAGAAGGAAGCUAGGAACCUCAAGGUGGAAGCCAACUUUGCAGCCUGGUGAAGAUAGCUUGGUGUUGCGAAAUUAUUUCGCAGUCCUCUUGAGUGUCUGCGAAAUCUCGCAGACACCAUUUUACUCCUGCGAAAUGGUUCCUGAAGCCUCCCGAUAUUUGCUACCGACAUUGGGAGAUAUUUUCCAUUAGAUUUUUGUUGUCUAAAUCCCAAAAUACUCCUUGUAAACCACCAAUUACAAGAUUCCUUAGCUUUUAAGUUAGUAAAAAGACUAAAUAUUUUUGUAACAAUUAGUUUUAUAUUAUGUUGAUAUAUAUACCUCUCGGGAGCCUGUUCUCGGGGAGGAGAUUCUUCUGUAAAAGUUUGGGUAAGCAAGUAAAGUCUAUUUUCUUUCUACUGCCUUACCUUCUCACUUUGUAUUUUCAUUUUAUUUCUAAGUUAUGAAUUCUCUGAGGAGUUUUCCCCAGAGAAUGAGUAACUAAACCUCUAAUUCCUUGGAGCUAAGGUUGCCGGGGAAGGUUCCAAGUGCAAGAAUGCAAAGCUUUGUGGUUUUAGAUUUUAAUGAAGAGGAAGUGAAAUCCUUUAGUGAUUUCUAUGUUUUUAGUUAACUUAAAACACCUUAGAGUCACCUGGGCCAACACUUGGUAAGGCAAGUGAUUUCCAACUAUGGAAAUGCACUAGUUUACCUCUUGCAAGCCUCUGGGAGGUGACUUCAAGGUAGGAUUUUCUGGAAUUACCAACACUUGGUAAGCUUUUGGACUCCUAGGAGACAUCCAUUAGUUAUCUCUUGCGAGUUUGUGAAGGGAAGUCCAAGGUUAAAGAUCAUCUUGAAUGGUAAGUGCUCGUGAGAGGCAUGAACCAUUGCAAGUUGCAUCAGUGAGAGAAUUAAAGUGAAAUCUAAUUGAAGGAAUCUCUGUACAACACCGGUUAGAGAAUUGACUAUAUGUUGAAUCUCUAACGCGAGGAAAUGAACCAUCUGACCAGGGCCGUGUCUUUUGCAUGAGGAACCACCCCAGUGAACCUAAAUCUCCAAGGAAUGCUUUUCUUCCUAAAUUAUUCCAAACUUCUGUUAUGUUAGUUAGUUUAAGUCUAAACCUUUACCAAUCAAAGUUUGUGUUUUACUUCUUAAGCUAACCGUGAAAUGAAACAAGACCAAUUCACUUGGAAUUGGUAUCAUUGAUUGCUUGUUAAUUAUUCCCAGUGAACGAUCCUAGAGCCACUAUACUAUAGUAGCUUUUUAUUUGCUACCCUAGUGUAUGGUGUUAUAGGUAUAAAUUUUGUUGAUCACUCCCUCAUCCAAGGAGCACCAGCUGGACAUGGAUCAGCUGAGACACCAAUUGGGCAUAAAUCAGUAGUCGGCAAAGGAUAAGAAGGCUGGGAUCAUUUCACACUGAACUUUACUCCAGCUACUUUGGUUAACCGGAUUCAUCCCAGAGAAACCCUGUGAAGAUCGCAGCCUUGUUUGAGCUCUUUGAAUAGAGUGAAAUAACAGAGCAGAAGCUGAUCAAACCUGGCAUGGAGGGCCCCCCAUUAAUAAAAUCAACUUCUCCAACCAUCCGGUGAUGCAGAUUGUUUGGCAGCCUCAGAAGCUGAGACACGGUCAUCGGCAUUCCCACACUACUCCACGACAGCCCUGCAUCACAACCAAUUUACGGGUCUAUUACAAAUGAGAGGGAGAAAAAGAGAUUUUCAUGUUAAUGAAAUCAUUCACCUUAGGAUCGAACUGAAACGAUAAACAUCAAUGAUUCCGGAUGAUUGAAUUUGAGUGCAUCCCCAGCAGGCUCUUCAUAUUCAGUAGCCUACUUGGUUACUGAUACACCUGCAAAGUUGAAAGCAACAGGAGGUAAAAUCAUCACAUUCUUUAAUAAAAAUGUCAUCACAUACGACUCUUUAGCUGAUAUAGAUACAAAUGAACUACCUGAUUGAGGGGCCCUUCAAAGGAAAAUAUGUUCCAAAGGUUGCAAGGACAUCACAUGGUGGCAGAUCAUGCUUCUGAAUAACCUGCACAUUCCACCCUUCAAAUAUAUUAGAAAAAUAAUAUAAUUGUAGUUUUAUAUUAUAAUAGAAGUUCAAAAAAAAAAAGAGAAAUUAUGCACGAUUGCUUGCACCCACCUCAUGGAUGUCAUAACAGUAUGCCUUCUUGCUUUUACAUUUUACAGUAAUAAUAGAUCGAUAACAAAUUUACAUGGAGAAGUGAGAACCCUCAGCUAGUUUCAUCCCCAUGACCAUGAUCCAGCAGCUCACCCAACGUAAUCACAGAAAACGGUUUUGACAAUAGUGGCCACUGUUUUGAGAGUGCUCGAGCAACUUGUUGCAUAGUUGGCCGAGAUUGGGGAUUAACACACAAACAUGCAAAUGCCAACUUCACUGCAACCACUACUUCCUCUGCCACUUGAUUCACAGGAGGUGAGGGGCGCUGGUCUAUCACAUCAUUCAGCAGGAAAUGGCCGACCGUUGAUGGUGAUGCAGAUGAGGAGGACGCUGAUGAUAACAGGGAUGAGAUAAGCUCUCCGGGAUGCCUUCCCAUAAUUACUUCUAAUGUCACAACACCGAAGCUAUAAACAUCGGUUUUAUUAUCCACCUUCAUUGUGUAAGCAAGUUCUGCAAAAGAAGAUUAGAUCAUGCUCUGCUCUGCUAAGCAAUUAGAAACGUUACAUAUGACGUAUAGAGGCCAUUUAGAGAUAAGCAAGGCACUAAGAAAAAUGUACCUGGAGCUGUAUAACCAAAAGUUCCUGCAAAUGAAGUCCAAUUAGAUGAGUCUGACUUUAAAAGCCUAGCCGUGCCGAAGUCAGAUACAUGAGCUUCAUAUUCUGAAUCUAACAAAACAUUGUUGCUCGAUAUGUCUUGAUGAAUUACAGGAGGUGAGCAAUCAUGGUGCAUAUAAGAUAAAGCUUUAGCCACGCCUUUAAUAACGUUUAGCCUCACAGUCCAAUCUAAUCUUUCUGCUUCUUCGUCGUUGCAUAGAAUGUUUUGCAAACUCCCCU